UCGAUGGUUUGGAGGUCGGCUUCGGAGAUGAACUGGACCUCGGAGAAGAAGACGUAGCCUCGCUUUUGGGCUUGUUCUCCGGCGAGGACGAUGAGGAGGCGGCGGGUCUCCUCGUCGGCUUCGCGGAAGUUUUGGGCGGAGAGGUGUCGUUCUAGGAGGUCGAAGGAGGUGGAUUGGGUGGAGGAAGAUGGUGUGGAGAAUGAUGUGGUGGCGGAGAUUGAGAAAGUUUUGGUGGAGAAGAGAGAGUGAUGAGAGAGAGGAGAAGUUAGGGUGUUUGUGGUGGUGGGUUUAAGGAAGAAGGUGGAGGGAGCAUUGUCUAUAUGGUGGUGGUGGAGGAGGAGUGAGUGGUGAUUGUGGCGUAUGGAUUGGAAAGACUUGGCUGCCAUGGAGAGAGAGAGAGAGAGAGAGAGAGAGGAGUGUGUGGUGGUGGUGGUGGUGGUGAUGGAGAGGAGUUAGGAGGGCAUAAAGGGGAAGGCAGGAGGGAGGUGAUGGGCUUAGAUGUGGAGAGAUGUGGUGGUGUGAGUUUGUGAGGAACGGAUGCUUUGAUAUAUGACAGAUAAGAAAUAUGUGAAGAGGUGAUAUGGAGUAAUAGGACGGAGGAUUUUGAUUGGCUAGAUGUGGGUGAGGCUUGAUCCUCCAAUACACAUGUACAAAUUAUUUAAAUCAUAAUGUAUAUGAAAUUCACUUUUUAGCUUCAUAUACAUUGGCCCAAAAGAAAUGGCCAAGGGGGCAUUUUGGCAACAAGACAAAUGUAAAGUUAAAAGACAAGCCAAUGGAGCUUUUUGAGCUUAAAGGUGCUAUCCAUACAUUUAUUUUUAUUUUUCACAUAUGGUUCUUAAUUUUCGUUCGUCAUAUCGAUAAAUUGAAGAAAAUCAAUGGACAAAAAUAGUCCAAAUCACCUAAGCAAAAGUACAACCGAAAGGGUAAUGCUAAGGAGAUCAAAAUUUUAAACCAAAUUGUAAACCAAAUGAUGUGUGGUUGAUGAUUGGAUUAUUACUUAAUUGUUGAUUAACGUACUUGUUUCUAUUAGUAGCAUAUCAUUUGGUUUAAAUUUUGAUCUCUCUAACAUUAUCUCAAAUCAAAACAAAAAAUACAAAGAAACAAGCCCAUAAAAAGAUCUCAUAAAUGUUAGAAAACAUCUGCUCUCGGAAACAAGAACCAACCAACCAAAUGGAAGAAUUAUGCUAAUUGCCCAAGCCCAAAAAAAAAAAAAAAACUAAUGAAAAUGGCUUGAAAACUUUGAGUUUUAAUGAUAAGGACAAAAUAAAAGGUAAAGUGAAUAGUACCAGGUUUGACUUUUUAGUGUAAAAAUGUGGUUUUUCGUUAAAGUGAACACCGUGAGCUUUUCAUUAAAACUCAAAAAAAAAAAAAAAAACUCAUCCAAACUCAUCUAAGGAGCCUAACUUUGGGAAGAGUCAUGGUUUAUUUAUGGAAGGUAAGGUAGCACACUUCACCUCUGGGUUUGGUUUUUAUUUUAUUUUAUUUUGUUGAUGCACAAAACCGGAGGUCUUGGAACAACGUAAAUCCGACCGUGAAUCUGCAUAUAAUGUAAAUAACACAAGAUGUAUCGUGGUUCACCCCAAGGUUUGGGCUAUGUCCACACUGAUUAUGUAUUUAUGAGAGGAUUGUGAGGGAGAGAAACCUCUGUAAUGUGAGAGGAGAUGUGAGAGGGGUGAGAAGGCUCCAGAAUUUGCCUCCCCUAAUUGUGAGGGUGAGGGGUCAUUUUAUAGAAUAAGGACUUCUCACUUAUUACAUAUUUGCCCAUUCAUUUAUCACAUAAUUACAUUUAAGUCCCUCGAGUAUUUGUACGAGAUCUAAAUACGAGGCCCUAAAUAUGGUAUAAACAGUAGUCCCCCAAGUCUUCAGUCAAGAGAGUCUUUUGGCUGGAGACUUGAAAUUCAGUCCACGUGUGGGCCGAAGUAACUAAAUGUCGUCUUGAACUGGUACUUGAUAUGAGGCGGUGCUCAAAGUGAAAUGAUGCUCAACUAAAAGUAGCACACGCUGCGAGGCUGCUCAGCUCGUGGCUUAUAUUGCCUUGGUUGGCUCGACUUGCGGCAUUUGAAGGUGAGGGAGUCCCUUUUAUGGAAUAAGAGCUCGCUCCUCAAUACAUGAAUGAUGGGCUAGAGUUGAUGCUCUUUAAUGAUGGUGAGGGAGUCCCUUUUAUAAAAUAAGGGAUUGCUCCUCAGUACAUGAAUAAUGGGUGCUCUCUAAUGAAAGUGAGGGAGUCCCUUUUUAUAGAAUAAGGGUUCGCUCCUUAAUACAUGAAUAAUGGGUGCUCUCUAAUGAAAGUGAGGGAGUCCCUUUUAUAGAAUAACGGUUCGCUCCUUAAUACAUAAGUGAUGGGCUAAGUCCCCCAAGUAUUUUUCAUAAGGCCCAGUUGCGGAAGCCCAAUAUAUGGUACAUAAUGUAGUCCUCCAAGUCUUCGGUCAGUAGAAUCUGUUGGCUGGAGACUUCAAAUUGAAUUCAUGUAUGGGUCGAAGUGGCAGUUGUUCAGAGGCGGUAUUUGUAUACCCUGCACUGAAGCUUUGUAGGUGAAUCUUUGCAAGUGAAGCUUUGAAGCUAGAGUUCUGUAAAUGAAGUUUUUGAAGCUAGAGCUCUGUAAAUAAAGCUUUUGAAGCUGUUUGACAUGAGUGAUGCUCAUGAAUGUUUAUGUUGAUUGACAUGAGUGAUGCUCAUGGAUGUUGUCAUGAGUGAUGCUCAUGAAUGUUAACAUGAGUGAUGCUCAUGAAUGUUGACAUGAAUGAUGGUCAUGAAUGUUUAUGUAUGAUUGUCAUGAGUGAUGCUCAUGAAUGUUUAUGUAUGAAUGACAUGAGUAAUGCUCAUGUAUAAUUUAGAGUACUGGGCGUACUUUUGAUCACCUGGUUGGUGGCAUGAAGGAGAGUACGGGUUGUACAUUUCAUCACUGGGUUGGUGGCAUGAAUGGCUAGUUGCCAAAUGAUAUUAGAGUACGGGUUGUACAUUUCAUCACCUGAUUGGUGGUAAUAGUGGCAGGUUGCCGAAUAAUUUUGGAGUACUGGGCGUACUUUUGAUCACCUGGUUGGUGGUAAUAGCGGCAGGUUGCCGAAUAAUUGUGGAGCACUAGGCGUAUUUUUGAUUGUCUGGUUGGAGCUAUUUUGGGCUUAUGGGCCUUCGCCCUCUACACAACAUUCCAGCCCAUUUAUUUUGGGCUUUGCCUUUUUUUUUUAACCCUCUGAUGGGAUUUAUACAUAUUACCCUCUAAUGGGGUUUAUACAGAUGUCUUCGAAAGAUCAGAAAAAUAAAUUACAUCACUUUAAAGUAAGGAAAAUAAAUCACAUCAUUCUGGUGGGGUGUUUAUUCCUUGCUUUUGCUUUCUGCUUUUCGUCGCACUCUCUCUGUCUCUUCACCUGGUAGACAAAAAGAAUCGUUUAAUAGGAAUCUUAUAAUUUUGCCCCAUUUCUUAUUUUUUCUUUUCCUUUUAUGCUUUACUUUCGCUUUCGUUUUCUGCUUUGCUUUUGCUUUCGUUUUUUGCUUUGCUUUUGCUUUCUUCUUUCUUUUGCCUUUCUACUUUGCUUUUGUUUUCCACCGCGCCUCUCUCUGUAAUUUCUGAAUGGGUCUCUAAAAAUCUAAUGGCGAUCUGCUUUGCUCCUCUAUCCAUUAUGUCCAGUAGCAAUCUUGUCUACUUUCAAUAGUGCAGCGCCACGAUCGAGGGCCAAGAUUUCAUUUCUUUUGACGGUUUCAAGAGAAUCGUCCCUGUAGCUAGUAAUACUCUCAUCCACUGCCAAGAGGAAGAGGUCUAGACCGUAAUUGUGCCACCUGAUGAAUCUCCUCCUCAAACACCUUGUAGAAACACUCCCUUCAAAUCUGCUAUAGGGUUUUGGGUCUCUUGAGGGCGGCCCGUCUUUCAUGACAGAUGCAGCACUAAAGCCCCCUGCCUUCUUCUGCUUGCCGUCGGCUGAAGACUCUAUUGAACGUGACGACACUCAGUCGAAGCUCAGGAUUUGUAAUUGACUACUUUUCCUCUCUGUUGACCGGUGAAAUCCAAACGGUGUCUCAUAUCCAAAUGGUUUCUGGGUUUUUCGUUUGAAAAGUCUCAGCUCAAGCUCCUCUGCGACCGCAUUGCACGCAGUGCAUUUGUCGUCAAUAGAAGCAGCCAUCGAUAAAAUGGUGAAGAUCAAAGCCAACCUCAACACCAUUGACCCUCUCAUUUCCUUUCACUUCUUCCACUUUCCGUCUCUCUCUCUCUGUUCUCGGCACUGGUACUGUUUGCAAUGGUGACGGCGGCGGCGAGGUAGACAGUCUCCUGAUCUGACAUUUUAGGCUGGUUUCCGCGGAGAACUGCGGAGAUGCAGAUGCGGCAAAUUUUGAUGAAGCCCUUCCUGGCGGAUACUCAUUCGACGGUGGCAGUCGACGUGAAGCCGUCGCUAGACCUGGCGUAGAGCAUCUUCUCCAGCGCGAUGGAGGAUGAGGAGCCGUAGAGGAAGCUCGCAGACGCCAUGGAUGGCAGAGAAGAUGGAAUUGCGGCGAGGCCGCAAGCUGAGCAUGGCGGAUAUAUUGGGUCAGAAGCUUUGGAGUUCAAGAACAAGAUGGCGAAGAAAAUAGUGGGUUUCUCUCGAAUUUGCUAAAUUUCUUUCCUUUCUGAUUGUCUUAAUAAGGGACCAAAAAGUAUAUAUCAAGCAAAAAACACUCUCAGCAUCUACACUUCAAAAGCCCUUUUUGAUGCCAAUACCAGUCCUUCCAAAAAAAUAAAUGGUUGUUUGGAUCUUUAAAGUUUGAAACUUUUGAGUUGUGAGUUUGUUUUGUUUGAAGAGGUGAAAGAGAUCAGAAGUAAGAGAGAGGCAGAGAGAGUUUUAGUUGUCUUUUGGGUUUUGCAGAUCCACAGUGAAGUGUGGUGAGGUUGUGAGGGUUUCACGGUGAUGAGAUGAAAAAUUGAGAGAGAACCGACAUAGCUUUUCAUGUCGAUUCCCGCAGAUGGCGCCAAAUGUUGAUGCACAAAACCAGAGGUCUUGGAACAACAUAAAUCCGACCGUGAAUCUGCAUAUAAUGUAAAUAACACAAGAUGUAUCGUGGUUCACCCCAAGGUUUGGGCUACGUCCACAUUGAUUAUAUAUUUAUGAGAGGAUUGUGAGGGAGAGAAACCUCUGUAAUGUGAGAGAAGAUGUGAGAGGGGUGAGAAGGCUCCAGAAUUGGCAUCCUCUAAUUGUGAGGGUGAGGGGUCAUUUUAUAGAAUAAGGACUCCUCACUUAUUACAUAUUUGCCCAUUCAUUUAUCACAUAAUUACAUUUAAGUCCCUCGAGUAUUUGUACGAGAUUUAAAUACGAGGUCCUAAAUAUGGUAUAAACAUAUUUAUUUUAUGAAUAGCACAGAGAAAACAAUAAUCAUGGUUUGGAUAAAUAAGAUUAUGUUAAAAAACGAAGUUGAUUUCGUUUUUUUUUUUUUUUUUUGAGAGAGUAUUGUACAACGACGAAUUCAGGAUGUGAACUUUGGGGAUCCUAAUGUUAAAUAUAAGUUUUUUAGAAUGAAAUAGAGCGAGAAACACGUAAAAAAAAGUUGACUCACUUGGUAGGCUUGUUGUGCACAUGUCAACAAAAAGCGGCAUAUGCCGAAGCAAUCUAAUGAGUGAAUAACGAGAACUUGUCGAGUGUUGUCAACGCAACAUGUUGAGAUAUGCCUAGCAUGCAUGACAUCAAACAUUUAGUAGGCACAAAAGGGCCCUAUAACAAACAUUCAGAUGGUUAUCGGAAGACCUUUACAUGUAUAUUUUCCGAACUCGGGUGAUCCUGAUACCACCUUGGUCUCUAUUUCCAUCUGCCCAUAACUGUAUGGAUGAUAAACUAAUUGGCUAACUGUUUCAAAUGGUUUACUAUCUUUAUCUUUGGCUUAUGACUUUAAGUGUAGUAAACAAGCAGUUGUUUCUUGGAAUAAAUGAGUUUGACGUAGAUGUUUUUUUACCACGUAAUUCUAUUUUAUUAUGGCAUUUCUUCACAAUAAGCUUUAAACUCGUGAUUUAUUGCUUCAUUGGGGUUCUCUUUGAGUCGAUGUGCUAUUUGUGUUGUAAGGCUACUGAAUCUGCUCAUCAUUUAUUGUUCGAUUGCUCACUUUCUUUGGUAAUUUGACGUGUUUUAGCCUUAUUUACGUUAUUCUUCGACAUCAAAUAUUUUUUUUUGUUAUCCUAUGAGGUGCAGUUUUGGUACUCAUCUUUAGUUAUUAUAGUGGGGUCUGAUUGGGGUAAGUUUUUGUCACUUUGGCAAGCUCGUAAUUUAAUUUGUUUUGAAGGAAAAAUAUUUACAGUUGAUCAAUCGGUUAAUGCCAUUCUCUUGCAAGUUUGUGAGGUGAAUUCUUGGAGUAUGUGUUUUAUAUUAAACUCAGUUGAUGAGCUUUGCAUUCUCAGAGCGCUUGGAGUGCAUCAGAAGGCAUUCGAGGGCGCCUGUAAUUCAUGAGGUUCUUUGGCUUUCUCCUUGUGCUUUUCAAGAUAAAGUUAACAUUGAUGGUGCAACUCGUGUUUCUCCGGGCGUGGUUGGUUUGGUGCUAGUUUUCACACACCUAUUUUGACUUCUCACACAUCCUUCUCAAUUUUCGGUCGUUAGAUCGAAUGAAUUGAAGAAGAUUAAUGACCUAAAAUUAACAAGGAUGUAUGAGAGGUAAAAUUAAAAAUAAGUGUGUGAAUAACACUAUCCUUAGUGAUAUGAGUGUGUAAAAUAAAACGAGGUGACUGAAACAGGAGUUGGAGUUAAAAAGAAAGCUUAGUAAAAUGUAACAGGUGGCAGCUUACUUCUGUUGAAGGUUUGUUUAAGAAAGUGUUGGUAGGUUAAUUGUAUAGAUGGUGCCUAGUUUUUGUGCUAAAAUCUAUCAUUUUUCACCCAUAUAGUUUGACAAAUUAAACUACGACCUCAAAAGAGUUGGACUGUUACAUACGCAUGAAUGCUAAACAUUUUAGGACGCGUUUACAUAACCGUAAUCAAAAUAGAUGAAUUGGAUUGAGAAGGAAUUUGAUUAAGGAUGAAUUGAAUUGAGGAGGAAUCAGAAUCGGAUUCCUGUUGAAGCUGUUUACUUAAAUGUUCUGGAAUCGAAGUAAAAAUGAAACUAAAUUCAUAUAAGUUGUUUACCAGUUCACCUGAAUCGGAAUGAAAAUUAAUAUGAUUACUAAAAUACCCUAAUCUAAAUAAUAGAAAAAUUCAUAACUUUUUAAUACAAUUCCACACACACACACAUAUAUGUAUAUAUAGUUUUAUUAAAAUAUUAACAAUUCCCGUCGGAAAAUAUUGGUGCAUUUUUUUACAUUGAAAUAAAUCUCCCAACAGCUUUCUAGAACCCACAGGUUCUCUACAUCAUCGUUGUUCCAUAUUAUGCUCUGCUCUUCUUCUUCUUUUUCUUCUUCUUCUUCUUCUUCUUCUUCUUCUUCUUCUUCUUCUUCUUCUUCUUCUUCUUCUUCUUCUUCUUCUUCUUCUUCUUCUUCUUCUUCUUCUUCUUCUUCUUACAUAAAUGUUAUGGAAUCGGAGUAAAAAUGAAACGAAAUUCAUAUAAGUUGUUUACCAAUUCACCUGAAUCGGAAUGAAAAUUAAUAUGAUUACUAAAAUACCCUAGUCUAAAUAAUAGAAAAUUUGUAACUUUUUAAUACAAUCCCCCCCCCACAUAUAUAUAUAUGUAUAUAUAGUUUUAUUAAAAUAUUAACAAUUCCCGUUGGAAAAUAUUGGUGCAUUUUUUUACACUGAAAUAAGUCUCCCAACAGCUUUCUAGAACCCACGGGUUCUCUACAUCAUCGUUGUUCCAUAUUCUGCUCUACUCUUCUUCUUGUUUUUGUUGGGUACUGUGAACACUUUGGGGCUUGGCUUUCUGGAAACAGCACGAAACUUUGAUCGUUUAGCUAUUUGGGGAAGAUAGAAAUAUGGUGUUUUGGUUUGCCCAAAUGAAAAGUUUUGGUUUUUAUGAAGGUAGAGGUGUUUUAGGAGUAUACAUGGGUAUUUUGGGUACAAAAUUUUGAUUCCUGAUGGAGUGUUCUACCUGAAACUCAAAUACUACCUCUGUAACAUCCCACAUUGCCUAGGGGAGUGGAUCAUGUAAGCCUUAUAUGUAUAUUCUCAUCUCUACCUAGCACGAGACCUUUUGGGAGUUCACUGGCUUCGGGUUGUGUAGGAACUUCGAAGUUAAGCGAGAAAUGGGCCAUACCAUUCCCAGGAUGGGUGACCCACUGGAAAGUUAUGCUCGCGUGAGUUCCCAUAAACAAAACUGUGAGGCGUGGUUGGGGCCCAAAGCGGACAAUAUCGUGCUACGGUGAAGUCGAGCCCGAGAUGUGGUGGGGGCAUGGGGGGGGAUGUGACAACCUCUAUAGAAGUAAUUCAAUUCCGGGCAAUUCUGGAAUUGAAUUCCUGAUAUUAGGUGGUCCUCACAAAAAUUCCGAUUCCCUAAUUGCUAGUAAACGUCGGAAUGGAUUGGGAAAUGUACAAUUCCGUUUCUCUCGAUUCCAUUCCCGAUUGGUAAACACGCCUUUAGUAUAUCACAUACAACAAUCAUGGUGCAACUAGAAAAGCAACUUUUAACAGAACGAUAAAAUUAAGUUGAUUUAUAACAGUUUUAUGAGAACGUGAGGACAACAAUUAUGCCUAGCAUGGUGCAUCCCUGCUAGCGGACAACUUAUGGACAUCUUCUCGCAUAAAUAAUCGAGUCAACUAGAGAAAUCUGUAAUCGCAAUUUUACUACUUAGAAUUCUCAACCCACCAAUUGAACGGAUGGAUCAAGUUUUAAUUAGAAUUGUUGAUAUUCAAGUAUGUUAGUUGUAAUUAGAUUAAUAUUAGUUGAACUUAACCACCUAUUAAACGGAUGGAUCGAGUUUUUACCUGAACAUAAAUUUUUACAGUUUACAACCGAACCCAAACCAACCCGACCAAACUGAUUUCCGUUGAAUUAGUCGGGUUCAAUCCAAUUUAUGGUAAUUCUGUAAAAAUAAGGUUACAACUUAAAAGCGGGUAAAACCAACGUGGCAACAUAGCAAUGGUCGUUUGCCGCAGUGUUGUUGAGCCCAGCGCAUAUUCCUGGUUUCAAAACAAAGUUGAGCGCCGCCGUCAAUAUUUUUCUGCGCCGUAAUAUUAAAGCAAGUUAACUUUAACAAAAAAAAAUUUCGGUAUUAUUUAUUUUAACAAAAAAUCAAAAUUUUUACGCUAAAAAAUCAAUUCUGAUGCUAUUUACUUUACUUUUUAUUUUGUUUUUAUCGUAAAACACAAUGUCUAUUUUUUAUUAAUUUUUCUUAUUUAAUUUUCAUCACCACUUGGUAUUUGUCUAAUCACUCGGUAUUAGCUUUCUCAAUCACAAACACCUCAGUCCUCAAAACCCUUUCAAUAUUGAGGGUUUUCGACGAUCCAUUUGUUCCCACUGAGGUGCUUCCCAUUUUUUACACCGCAUUUUACGAUUGAUUUUGAUUUGAUUUUUCAUGACCUGGGUUGUGGGAUUUGGAUGAAAAGGUGAAUUGGGUUGGUGGGUAUUUGAAGAAAGAGCACAAGGGUUUGUAAUUCUUGGUGUGGAUUGGGUCCUCCAGGUGUUUGAUAAAAAGCGCAAGAGGGUUUUUGGGUUUUUUGGAGUGGGAGAAUGGGGCAGAAGAAGAAGAAGCGUGGAGGAGGGAGUGGGAAGAAGAAGAAGGCCUUGAAAGAUCAUGGGGCUUAUGUUGGUGAUGAUGAUAAUGAACUUCUUUCUGAAGAGAUCACUGCCUUGUAAGUGACUCUUCUUCUUCUUCUUCUUCUUCUUCUUCUUCUUCUUAAAUCCUUUUAUUCUUCGAAUAAUCGACUCAAAACUGCAUGUGGGGGGACAAACACUGUGAUCACCAUGAACAACUUGGGAUGACAAAUUGAACAGUCAGACGCAACUGGAUUGUAUUUUAUGGCAACUUUGGAUAUGCACCAUUACUAGAAUUAAUCACAGCUUCAAAUGGAUUGAUUGGAAAUGUUUUCCAAAUGAUAAUGGAAAGUUUGCAAUUGUAAUCUUUUAAGUGCCACCAAUUCGAACAAUUCCCUUAAGUUUUGGAGAGGCAAUAUUCCUCUCUUUUAAGUCACAGGUGUGAAGUCUGUAGCUCAUGGGAUAAAAAAGAAUGGAAUUCUUUUCAGUUUAUUAUUGUUGGCCAAUAAACCUCUAAAAGUGGUUUCAGUGUCAUCACUGAAAGGACAUUGACUCUAUUGCAAAAACUGAAUUGUUAUCUUUUUUCUUUUCAUUUCCCUUUACCCCCGUUUUGCACCGUAUGGUAGUUACUGCCGAACUUAGCAUGUUUGGCAUGGGGGAUGCAUUUUGUUCCAUUGUUUGUUGUGUCUAAAGGAUAUCAUCUACCCAUUAUCAUGUUGUAUUGUAUUUGAGUAUCAGGUCUUCCCAUCUGCUUCAUUCUCUUUUUGCUGAUUUUACUUUUGAGUGUUCAAGGUCUGGUUAUUUGAGGAACAAAUCUGGAGGACAAUACUUGGAUGGUUGUAAAUUAAUGUCCUUACUUUGUAUUAUUAUUAUGUAAAUCAUGCACUAUUAUGUUUAUAAAAAAUGUUGAUGCCUCUGUUUGAAAGAUUCAUGAUAAUCAUCUGAGGCAUUUACUUCUGUCUCAUAAUUUGUAUUGCUAUUCGUGUGGGAUGUUUAGGUGUGCAAUAUUUCAAGACGACUGCAAAGUUAUGUCUGGAUCACAUCCUCAAAUCAUUAUUAAGAUUAGGUAUGUCUUAUUUAUUUUUAGAUGAAACAGUUCAUGAGUUAGACUCCUCUUGAUUGAGAUUUUGUUCUCUACUGCAACAGGCCUCAUUCUAAGGAUAUGGGUUAUGAGGAUCUAGAUGUUUCUGCACUUCUUUCAGUUAGGUUAGUGAAUUUCUUUUCUAUAUUGCGUUUAUUUUUGGUUUAUAAAUAUUCCUUCCCAUGCAUCUUAAUGUUCUCUUGUUUGAUAGGUGCUUACCGGGGUAUCCUAACAAGUGCCCAAAGUUGCAGAUAACUCCAGAGAAAGGUUUAUCAAAAACUGAUACUGAUAGACUGCUAUCUCUUAUUCAUGAUCAGGUAUUAUUAAUUAUUUUCCUAAAACCUUAUUGAUAGUUCUUCGAGUUCUUCUGUGAUGGAGUGUAUAUGCGGUUACAAGCGCAACAGUUAUUUGUCUUAAUCCUAAAAAUAUUGUAUGCCUUAAAGAUUAGCGGCUAUUGGCCCAUUGGCCAAGUUGGUUUUGAUAUACUGACGGCUAUGUAUGAGGAAAUGUUUUCAAAAUUUUCCCUGAAACAAACAGAAACAGUGCUCUUCCACCCAAUCUUCAUUUUAAGAGAUAAUGUCACACAAGGAUUUUACACUUGCAUGGAAAAUAUCGUUGGUCAGUCUGACACAUAAUAAACUAGUGUGCAGCUAGUGCCUUUUUGUGUGGUUCUGUUCUAUUCUUAAUUUAAUUGUUCUGUUUCAGGCAAAUUCUAAUGCUCGAGAAGGACGGGUAAUGAUUUUCAAUUUGGUAGAGACUGCCCAGGAAUUCCUAUCUGAAAUUGUGCCAGUGAGCCAAUCACAUGGACCUGUAAGACUUCUCUAUCAUCAUAUUUGUGCAUUUGUUUGUUCAUUCAAAUGUGUAUGCUGUUCUAAUUAACCAUGUUUGCUAACCGUCAUCUUGGUGGUCUGGAUUAUUCUUGGAUUUUGACAUGCUGCCAUUGGUACCAAUGCUAUACUGUGUUAAUUAUGGAUAGGUUCCAAGUAUAAACAAACAAAGAGACUAUAAGGAAUAAUUGCACCGCAUUCCAAUCAAACACAUCUCCGAUGCCUGUUUAGAAACCUUUUUGUUGCACCCCUAUCUCUAAGGGCAAGGUUUCGUAUGAUACAUGGUCCACAAGAAUAAGACAAUUAAUAUUGACAACUAUGAAGACUGCAUCUUUUGAUGUGUUAAUUAUGAAUUUGAAUCUUGUAUUUUUAGGUGUAACCUUCUUUAACAUGUAGAUCUGAAAAGUUCACUCUCAUUUCUUGAUGAAAUUUUGCGUAUCAUUACUUCUCUACUGGUUGUUUGAUUGAUGGAUGCUUUGUAUAUUCAUUUCUCAUGGAAGGUAAUAUGUCCGACUACGGAUAGCAGUGCUCAAUUGUUUCAGAAGGACAUUGCAAUUUUAAGUAACAAGAAGGGGCCUUUUGUUUAUGGUUUCAUAGACCUGUUCAUUGGUUCUGGAGAGUCUUGGAAUUGGGGUUUUGGAGUGGAUGAAACCAGUGGGAUAAAUCCAUCGGUACCAUCCCACACGGAUAUAAAGCAAAGCCCAUUACAAAAGGCCCAUCCUAAAGUUAUGCGUGAUAUUCAGGAAAAGAAACUGGAUAAGCAUGCAGAGCAGACAAGUUUACAAGAUGUAAAGCAAAGCCCAUUACCUUCCCCUACGGUCCAGUUAGAUACCCUUGGAGAAGAUAGUGAAGAUGGCAACAAGAGCAUGUAUUUUACAGAUUCAAGUAGAUUGUUGUUGGAGGAAUCUGUAGAAAAUGGUGGUAAAGCUGAGAAAGAGGUGAGUAAUUUAAUAUCUUUUCUUUGGGCAGAUUAUAACAUGAUAUUAUUUGAUGUUUGAAUGCGCAAAUGUGGAUGAAUUUCACACACACACAUACAUAUAUUCUUGUAUUGCCUUUUUGUCUACAUAUAUUGUUUUAUUUAUUUACUCUUGUUUUUAAAGUAAUAGAGUGCGAAGAGAGAUUUUGUAUCUUGUUAGAAGGCACAACAAGGACAUGUGAGUACAGAUUAUCAUGUAUUCUUUUGGCGUCUUUGGUUGGAGAGAAAUAGGAGGGCUUGAUGGGAAUGAACUUUUUUAUUUUUUAUUUUUGGAGUAGAAAGAUCACCUUUUUUUUAGCUUUAUAAAAAUUAUCUCAAAAGAGAGAUACUUUUCUUAUCUUUCAUUUUCGUCCACUUUUGAUUGGCAUACCAGUUGUGCACUGAGCUAGUGUUGAAUUGGCAUCUUGCACACCCAAAUGAUUCAACCCUGAUGCUCUCUUGGUAUGUAGAAUCAAUCAUACCACAAGGCUGCAGACAAAUUUUCUUGUGUGGAUGAAUGAAUACAAAGAGAAUUCUGAACAAGUUAUGCCAGAUCAUUGAAUAGAAGGCAGUGACCUUGACGAAAUUUGUUAUUUCUGGACAUUGCUGUUUGAUAAUAUUGUUUUGGGUUCAUGGUCUGUUUUUGAAUAGGAAGUUUUAUUGGACACUCUAUGAUACCGCUACAUACUUUUAUGCUUUUACAGAAUUUGGUCGUUAAGGAUGAUUCAACAGAAGAUGAGUGGGAAUCUGGAAGUGAGCAAUCAGAGUCACUCUCAUUUGCUUCCUUGGGUCAUGAUCAAGUGUCUCAAGAUGUUACAAAGGAUCUCAUAAUGGUAAUUUUAUGUUUUCUUGUCUUUUCUACACAGAAUUUUGAUCCUAAAUUUCCUGUUGGGUAUUGUUUCCUCUUAUGUUAGGUUCAUCUACUCCGUCUUGCCUGCUCUUCGAAAGGACCAUUGGCUGAUGCCUUGCCACAAAUAACCACAGAAUUGGAGAAGUUAGGAGUAUGCAACUCUAUUCAUCCAGUUAACUUUGUUAACCCAUACACUUACCAGAUUCUGAUCUCUGUUAAUUUCAUUUUCAGAUUUUAUCAGAAUGGGCAAAGGAGUUAACUUCUAAACCACCUUCAGUUUUGAACAGAAUAUUUGAUCAUGCUUUCAGACAACAUAUGGUUCGUCAUCCCCCUUUUUAAUUUCUUUGCUGCUAAGAUCUGGCUUCUAAAGCCAAUUCACAUUGUUACAAACCUUCUCUUAUCUAGGUUGCAUCCCAAAUCUCUCAAUUUUGGGAACCCGCGUCUGAUUUCGAUGGGCCAAGUACAUCUCUCCCAAGCUCUCGGUAUCUUAAUGACUUUGAGGAGCUACAGUCCCUUGGUAAAGAAAUUUUUUUUGUAUGUUUUUUCAUUUUGUUUUCCUAAUAGCUCAAUAGCCUCAGUUGUUCUUUAAGUGUGUCUCUAGGUACUAGGUGGGUAGUUUAUUAUGGGAUUUUUGAUUGGCUGAGCUAGUUAUAGAUUAUAAUUUGGUUAGUAAAAUAAAAAAAAGUUAUGGAUCCCUGGGGGUGUCCAUCCAUAGUAGACAAUAAAAAUUACUCUUUGAGCUCUUGUAUUUGUUUUGUUUUGUGCUACGAAAAUUUAUCUAUUUUUAUUUAAAUGUAUUUAUUUUAUCUUCUUAUAUGGUAAUUUACAGAUAAUGCUAUAAUAGGUUUUUCAUACCCAAGAAAAACCAUGGAAAUUCUUGUUAUGUUGAUGUAUGCUAUGUAAAAGCACUUGAACAACAGCUUGUCAAGCUGUCAUUGUUAUUCUUGCCCUUCAUAUCAGCCUUGAAAGGUGCAAAAUUAUUGAUCAAAAUAGAUAGAAAAGUUGAUAAGCAAGUAAUAUUGUAGCUUGUCUAUUUCUUCACUGGUUUAUUAUGUGCAAAAAAGAGGUGGAAUUUGGUGCUCACUUGUUUUAUGCUGUCCAUAUAGUUUGUAAGGCAGGGGUAAAUUGGGUUAUUCCUCAAUCACCUCGAAACAUUCUUUUUCAGAAGUAUUUGCCUUUUGAUGGUGGAACAAACAGCAAGAAUUUUGUGGAUUUUUCUGUAUUAGUUGCUUUUUAGGUAAUUUGGAUGGAGAGAAAUGGAAGAAUAUUUGAAAACUAUAGUGGGGAUGUAGAAGUAAUUUCUUGGGAAAAACUCAGGUUUUGGGCAUCAUUAUGGGUUUCUUUUCCUCCAGCCUUAAGGGAUAUGUCAUAUAUUGUAAUUUUAUUACAUUAGAGGCCCUGCUGUAGGAUAGUUUCGGGAGAUGUAUUACAAUGUAAGAGGGUAUUUUGGUUUUGUUUUGAGGAUUGUAUCUCUGGUUCACUAUGUUUUGUAUUUCCUUUUACUCUUAUAAAUAAUCUUCCAACUGGCAUUGCACUUUGUACUUUACGAAGUUUUUUAUAUUUAUUCGUCGGAGGAAUUUUGUUUUAUUUGAAGUAUAACCAGGAAUAUUCUUUUUCAAAAUCUGGUACAGGUCAUGGUGGCUUUGGCCAUGUUGUAUUGUGCAAAAAUAAGCUAGAUGGAAGGCAGUAUGCAGUGAAGAAAAUUCGCCUCAAGGAUAAAAGCCUUCCUGUUAAUGAUCGAAUAUUGAGGUAUAUUAAUGUUUCCCGCACAAAUUUGAAAUUUUGGAGUCGUUUAGCCUAGAAAAAUUUCCUUUCACGAACCAUGAAACUGAUUAGUCAUUUGUCAAUGGGUCUUUGUAUUGUUAAUUUCAAGAUAGUAACUUUAUAAGGAAAUAUAAACGUAAUUCUGCCAAAGAAGAAAAUUAACUAUGGAGUGAACUUAAGUUAUGGGAUGAGGGGGCCAGUAAUCAAUUACAAUUUCUGUAGAUUCUUAAACACUCUUAUGGACUACAAAGGUUCUCAUAUGACUUUUGUAUUGAAUAAUAUAUAUUUUUUGUAAAACUCCACAUAGUUAAGUGAGCAACCUUUGGAGAGUUUUAUAUGGUGUCUGAUAGAGUUUGGCAGGUUUCUUUCAUAUAUUCGUACAGAUUUGUGAAGAUAUAUUUUUGCUUAUGCUUAUGUAAUUUGUGACAAAUAAACUGUAAAUUAUAUAGUUAGCUGUUCCAAAGAUCUGCAACACGUAGGCCUGGUGGGUUCAUUAAAUUUUGGCCUGUCCCAACCGCUUAAAGCGAUGAGUCUAAGCCCCGGCCUAUUGCCUAGCUUUUGUACCCUAACCUUUCUAUUGCUUUCCAUAUCUCUUUUUAUUCAUUUUCAUCGUUAUCUUUUUUUCCUUGCAAUUUUUAACUGUAUUUACUAGUAUAUUAUUUUGUAUAUAUAUAAUUCUUUUUGUUUCUAGCAAACUUGUCAAAAUGUUAUAUCAAAUAUUCUUUGCCCAUUCAUAUAUUUCAAUCACUAUCAUAGUAAUAGCUAUUAAAAAUUCGUUGUCUUUUCAACACAAUUGUGAAUCUAACAUCUUAAGUAGAUAUAUGUUUAAAAUGUAUAGCUGAAAUAAUUUUUUUCCGUGUUCUAAAAUUUUUUUGUGGCUCAACUUUGGCGAGAUACUUAGGGAAGUAGCUACACUUUCUCGUUUGCAGCAUCAACAUGUUGUACGAUACUAUCAGGUAAAAACUUUCUUAUUUCCUGCUUAUGCAUUUAAUGGCAUGCUUCUGCAAGUUCUGUAACAAUUUCUUGUUUUUUAGUUUCUAUGAUUUUGUAUAUGCAAUAUUGUGUCAGCCUACGUUUGUUUUCAAAGCAGCUUGCAUUGGGAACUGUUCUUUGAUAUUGAAAAGUUUAAUUUUUAGGGAGGUUAUUUUUUCUUACAAUCUUUUGUCUUCACAAUGGUUCUAAUAUGUAAUAUUUGCAAGCACUUCCAGGCGUGGUUUGAAACAGGGAUUAUUGGUGUUCAUGGUGAUACCAUGUGGGGUUCAAUGACUGCAGCCAGCACCACUUUCAGCUUCAAAGGUACAAACUCGGCAGAUGCUCUUGGGAAUGAGAAUAAGCUUGAAUCGACUUAUCUGUACAUUCAAAUGGAAUAUUGCCCAAGGUAAACUUCUAUUUUGAUUUGUUUUGAUUUGUUGUAUCUUAAGAUAUAUACUCAAAGAUUGAAUUUAAGAUGCGUAGUGGUUGGUUAGUUUUUUUACCAUUUUACAUCUGUAAGUACUGCAAUCUGGUUCAUCAUGGUAUUGUUUUGAACCAUUGCAUCACCCUUUUGGUAGUCUAGUUUUUCUUAUGCAAUUUAGAAAGUAAGACAUAUCUUUUGUUGUCACUAAGACUUUUUUAUUUUAUUACUCCUCAUAGUCCAUUGUUAAAUCCUUAUUGACUGCUACCUGAUAUGAGUCCUAGUGAGGCUUAUCUUUUGUUGCUUGAGAGUUUUUAAUUAUUGGGCUUCCUGAUUGACUGCUCCCGAUCAUCCAUCAUUCCUCGUAGAAUCCUUAGAGAAACCUGCAACUAUGAUAAUAUUACUAAGCUUGUAAAUAACUAAAUAUUGAAUCGGCAUUGAGGUCAGAUUUUAAGUAUAUCUAAAUUUGAGACUGUCACAAUGUAUGAUAGGUAAAAGGUAAAAAAAGAUGGGAAAUAAAAAUUGAAAAGAAAAAUGAGAAUACAAAGGAGCUGAAGGAAACUGUCUAUAGGCUCUGUACUGUUCCAGUUUUUUGUUGGUUUAUUCUCUAUUAUUCCUUGCACCUUGCAGCAGGUCUAAUUUAAAAUUCUUUCAUUCAUUGAAUUUAGUUCCAUAAAUCCUUAAAAUAUGCUUUUUUUGCCGAGUUUUUAUCUUACAUGUUUCUUACUCUUUUAUUUUAUUUCUAUUUUAUGGUUUGAAGGACUUUACGCCAAAUUUUCGAGUCAUAUAGUCGUGUUGACAAAGAAUUAGCAUGGCAUUUGUGUCGUCAAAUUGUUGAAGGCUUGGCACAUAUACAUGGACAAGGCAUCAUUCAUCGGGACUUAACCCCAAGCAACAUAUUCUUUGAUGCGCGUAAUGAUAUUAAAAUUGGUGAUUUUGGUCUGGGUAAGUUUGGAUUUUCUUAUAUAACAUCAUUACACUUCAGUAAGUCUUAGUUUGAGAACUAUGUAGUCUGUAGAGCUUUUUAUGUACUUGCAUUCAGGUCUUUUUUUUAAAGUGUACUUGUUAGUUUCUCAAGAGUACGGUGUGUCAUAGCAAUUUCAAAUAAGUGUAUUGUGUUUUGACUAUUAUAACUGUGAGAACAUGGUAGGAAAAAGGCAUGAGAUGUGGUUACUUUCAUGACUAUUCUGUCACAAGCUACUUUUUUGAAUAAAAUUCUGUUUCUUUUGGACAUACCAAUUUUGCUUCUGUAGAAGAGUUCAGUUCCUGGGUGAUAAUAUAAAAUUUACUUUCACACACAACUCAUGAAUUUUUAUUUAAAGUUGUUUGCUAAAUUCAGGAUUUAUACUUAAUCCUCAAUGUAAUUUGUUUUGUUUCAGCCAAGUUUUUUAAGUUGGAGCAGUUGGACCAAGAACCAAGUUUUCCUCCAGAUACAGCCGGAGUUUCUCUUGAUGGUACUGGCCAAGUUGGUACAUAUUUUUACACUGCACCAGAAAUUGAGCAAGGAUGGCCAAAGAUAGAUGAAAAGGUAAAUAUUUUCGCACUUAUUUUUACGUAGUUUUACACUUGAUUGUACUGGCCAAGUUGGUACAUAUUUUCAUUAUUUUCACUUAGUUUUGUAAUUUUUUAUAGUAAGUUACACAAUAUGUCAUGUGCCACUUUUAAAGGCAUGUAAUCUGUUUUUAAUCAAAUAAUAUCAGGUAAACAUCAUUGAGUCAACUUGGAUUGCAGGCUGAUAUGUACAGCUUGGGAGUUGUAUUCUUUGAGCUAUGGCACCCAUUUGGGACUGCAAUGGAACGACACCAUGUCCUAUCUGACUUGAAACAGAAGGGCGAACUUCCUCCUGCUUGGGUUGCUGAAUUUCCUGAACAGGCAUCUCUGUUGCGGCGUUUAAUGUCUCCAAGUCCAUCAGAUCGUCCUUCUGCCACUGAACUUCUAAAGCAUGCAUUUCCACCACGAAUGGAGUCUGAGUUGUUAGACAGUAAGUAACAGUUAUAUCUCUGUAUUUAUCUUAUUAAAGCUAAUCUCAUCAGAUGAAAAACGCAGAGGUAUGAGUGUUCAGUCUAUUUCAAAUCUCUGCAGACUGCUGCACUUCUUUAUUCUAAUUGCAAAAUAAUGUCUGUAAUUGUUGGCACUAAGAGACCAAGCAUUGAUAUAUAUUUGUAGAAUAUAUUGACUUAUGCAAGUCUCUACAACUUGACUGUAAAGGAUAAUACAUGACAAAGCCAAGUAAAAUAGAAUGUGUUAGACAUGGUUUCCAACACUCCCCUCAAGAUGGACUGAAGAUGUCCAUGAAGUGCAGCUUAAACUACAGUAGCCUGAAGUACAGAUGAACAUCCGUACAACUUGAUAUCACAGAGCAAGUAGAAUUAUAUGUCGGGAUCAGUCAGAUUGACCGAAAAGAAGAUAUGGUCCAAAUGACGUUGGUUAAAACCAAUUAUAUGAUCACUAUACAACUUUUGCUAAACCAAGUGGUUGGUGAUUGUUCUUGGGCUGGUUAAACCCCACCAGCUCCUCACUCUGAAACCUAGUUGGAGGAUCUUCGUGCUGGGUGAUUUGUUAAUUUUUUUUUCCCACAAAUCAGUUAGUAUUUCAUAUGUGUUUGAGUCCUGCUAAGACAUCCCCCGAAGAACCUUUUGGAAUCUCUCAAUUCUGUGGGUGAUUCUUGGUUAUCUGACAGUUUUUCUUUAUUUAUUUUUCAUUAUUAUUUUUAUUGUCAUUCAUAAUUUUUAUAGGGAAUACAAUUUCUUUGUACCUGGUGCUGGUCCAACAUGUUCUCUGGGGAGGAUGGUGAAGAUGUUUCUUUGUGAUUCAUAAUACAUACCCUUGUUUUCUCUUUCGAAGCAAUAUUUAGAAUUUUUCAACUGAUUCCAUUAAGUUUUGAGUUGCUUGAGUAAAUGCUUUUCUUCAAUAUGCUCAGAUAUUCUACGAACAAUGCAAACCUCAGAGGACAGAAGUGUGUAUGACAGAGUUCUGAAUGCCAUCUUUGAUGAGGAGAUGUUAAGCGUGAAAGAUCAGCAACAUCGUGAUGGAAGUGUGGGAUUAGGUGGAAGGGAUACUUCUGCUGUGCAGUAUGCAGAUUUACAAACCGAGGCUCGUGAUUACGUUGUUGACAUCACAAGGGAGGUGUUCAGACAGCAUUGUGCAAAACACCUUGAAGUAAUACCUAUGCAUUUGCUAGAUGAUUGCCAACAGUUCAAUAGGUUUCUUUCUUGAACUCUUCGUAUUGUGUUUACUAUAAUGUUUUUAUGACAUAGAAUUACUUUCUGUUUCUUUUUAUGUGUUCAUUCAUACUGAUUAUUUGUUAUAUCCUACAAGGAACACUGUCAAACUUUUAACCCACGGAGGAGAUAUGCUUGAACUUUGUCAUGAGCUGCGCUUGCCUUUUGUUAGUUGGGCGAUCUCCAGCCAGGUAUUAAACAAAUCAAAACACAUGUUUUGUUGCUCGUUUUUCUUAUUGGUUUCAUUCUUGUUGUACAAGAUACAAACAUUAAUCCUUUUCAGUUCCUAAGUUAACUUCUUAUUCCUUGGUUGAACAUGCUGGUUCAGCAGUUUUGAAGCUCUGCUUGGGUCUUGUUAUUUUCCUUUUUGAAGCUAAGCGUGGCUGCAUCCUAAGUAGAUAUCAUACAUGUUGGCAAAAUCAUUACAAAAGUACCCGUAUACAAAGGGAAACUAGUAGUUUCAUAAGUAGUUGAAGGAGUAAUGGGACUUGAGUUAUGUAUGCUGGAAAUCUACUUAUCUUAUCAAUUUCUACAAGGUUCAGAAUCUCAGUGAGAUUUCACAGAUAUUUUCGGUUUUAUAAGGAGAGAUAAUGGCAGCAAAAAACAAUUAUAUCAUUGUUUUUCAUUUUGCCAAGUUUAGAAAAAUACUGGCGUUCUUUUAAGGGAAGGACUAGGAUAAUUCUGUAACAUAGAUGAAAAUAGAAACAAAAAAAAUAUGCCUUUUAGCAGCAACAAGGGUGGGUGACAGACAAGGGCUCGCUUUUAAUGAUAAAUUAUAUAUACUGAAUUCUGAACAGGAAAAUCAUAGGAAUGUGGAUGCAGACAAUUUGGAGAUGAGAAUGCUAAAAUGGGUGGUUUGAAAGGGUCGCACGAUGGAUUUAGGAGAGUCUACUUGUGAAUUACUGAUUGUUCAUUUAAUAGGUAAGAAUCAAUUGAAAGUUGAAACCUAAGUUACUGUUUGCAAGAAGAUCAAAGUUAGAUGAAAGUCUACAGUAGAGCACUGGAAACAGGGAGUGGCCGAGGUUCAUUGAACCCUGAGCUAAGUUUUUAAUGCUGACAGUAUGAUAAGUUGAAAAAAAAUAACGUGUAUUUGUUAUACAAGCUUCGGACAUUAGGCAGUGUAAUGUGUCCAUCCAAUAACUGAUGCCUAGUUUCAAUCAUGCAUUCCACCAUUGCAAAAUUCUGAGGACAUAACUCAGUUAACAAUGGAUUUGUUUGGAACAUGAAUUAUUGUUUUAUGUUUAACCGAGAUAGAUUUAUUUAUAAGAUGAAAUUAUUGCUUUAUAAGUUUAUAUACAUGCUUCUUUUGUCUCUAAAAUUUUAUGAUAAAGUCAGGGCGCAUAACUUGGCCAUUCUACUUGUAGAAAUCUUCAUUCAAACGUUACGAAAUAUCCUCUGUGUACAGAAGACCUGUUGGACAUUCACCCCCAAGUCGCUACCUGCAGGUAUCUCUCUCUCAUUAUAUUUUAUCUGUAUAGAAUGUUUUUAAAAUGUUUAUGCUCUAUAGUUAACUGUACUAUGAUUUGCUGCCUAAGUUGAUGUUUGUGGCUUAAUAAUACAACCUUAUGUCAACACAGGGUGACUUUGAUAUUAUUGGAGGCGCAUCAGCAUUAACAGAGGCAGAAGUCAUCAAGGUGAUACAUUAUCUGAUUUAUUUAUUUAUCCCUGAUUUAUUUAGUUAUCAUUAUUGGAGGUGCAUCAGCAUUCAACAAAUAUCACGUUAUUUCUGGACAAUAAUUUGUUUUUUGUUGGUAAUUGACUAGCAUGCGCUGGCCAAUGAGUUGUGCUGUAGGCUUUAUAGCAUAUGCUUCAUAAGUGUGUCUCAUCUUGCAGGUGACAAGGGACAUUAUAGCUAGUUUUUUUCAUUCAGUUUUUUGUGAUAUUCAUCUAAACCAUGGGGACUUACUGGAGGCAAUUUGGGCUUGGGUAGGAGUCAAGGCAGAGCAUAGGCAGAAAGUAGCAGAGGUACACAGUUGAUGUAUUCCGGAUAUUUCCAUAAACAAUCUGUGUAUUUCAUUGAUGGUAUGAUGACUCAUAGAUGCUUCCCUUUCUGAAUGCAGCUUCUGUCUAUGAUGGGCUCUUUACGUCCUCAAUCUUCUGAGCGGAAAUCCAAAUGGGUGGUAAUCAGGCGUCAGCUUUUGCAGGUUUGAUAAAAAUUAUUAAGUAUUUGCACUUUCUAGUUUUCCAACAAUUAUGAGUGUUCAUCAUAAAGAAAACAAUUGUAAUUGGAGUUACCUAGCAGCCGAGCAGAUAUUCUUGUCCUUAUGAUUUACUAAAUUACUAUCUAGUUUGGCAUAUAGAAACCAAAUGAAAGUUUUUAUCUGGUGUGGUUAAUUCCUUUUAUUUUUAUUUUCUGUGUUGUUUUUUCCCUUAAUAAUGAAGUGAACAAUGUCAGGACUGUGAAAUGUUUUUCCGACAAACCAAAAUAGAUUGUCAAGUUAUAGGAUCUUCGAUUAUAUAGAUUUUUAUCUAUCUAUUUUGUUUGACAAGAAACAUAUUUUCCGUAAUAAAAGGAAACAUUAAAAAAACAUGGGAGAAGUUGUCCACUGCACAAGCAGUCUACACAACUACAACAGUUACAGAGUACAGAAUCGUAACAUUACAGGAAUUGAAAUCUAAAAUACAAAAAGAGUUUGGAGGAUCGUCUAGUUUGGUAGCUAUGUUGUCGUACAGUUAAACUAGCACAAAAAGAGUUUUGUUAACUCAAUUGUGAAAUAAUGAUGUGAAAAUCAUUAUAUUUUGAAUAUAUUGUCGGUCAGAAAGAUUAUCUAUUUCUUAAUAAUUAUUUUCUUUGACAGGAACUUAAUUUACCGCAAGCUGUUGUAAAUAGGUUGCAAACUGUUGGUUUACGGUUUUGUGGACCUGCAGAUCAGGCACUUGCUAGACUGAGGGGAGCCUUGCCAACUGGUAUUUUUUUUCAUGACUGAUGUAAAUACAUGUACAUCAAAUGAGAGAUGAUAAUCAAUAUCAGAAAUUUAAUGCAGAUAAACAAACACGGAAGGCACUUGAUGAGCUGUCGGAUCUCUACAGCCACUUGAGAGUUUGGAGGAUCGAACGAAAUGUUUACGUAGAUGCACUUAUGCCACCAACUGAGAGUUAUCAUAGAGAUUUGUUCUUCCAGGUAUCUUAGCUUUAGAUAUACGCUAAUUUUUAGCUUUAGAUAUACGCUAAUUUUCCUUUUUCCUCUUCCAAAUAACACAGCUAUACUUUAGUAUUUCCUAUCGGAGGAAAGUUCAUAGAACUUAUUCAAUGCAUCUGAGGCAGUAGAGUGAAGAACACAUUAAACAAAUGACAUUUGAACUUUUCAAACAUAAUUAAAAAUGUUUUACGACCAAAUGGCUGAUUUCAAAAUAAGCAUAAUACUUGGGUACUGAAUAGUCAGUACCCAAAUAUACUGAUUUUGUGCCAAUAUAAAAAUGCCAUGUGUUUCUUGUUUUUUGAAGUCCAAGGAAAAUUAAAUAACAUGUUCAUUAUUCUUUAAGGAACUGUUAUUGGCACUCCAAAAUCUAAUUGUGCACUCCUUAAUAAGCGUAUUUUCUUUCUAGAUAUAUAAAGUUUAGAGUGCACAAGUAGAUAUUUGGAGUGCCAAUAACAAUCAAUUCCCAUUCUUUAAAUAAAUGACCACGUGUUAAAUAUCAUUGGCCAUCACAAAGUUAGUAUAUUGGGUGCUAACCAGUCAGUGCCCAAGAAUUGUCCACAAAAUAAUAAAUCAGUAUGGGGUUUAUCAUAGAAAUUUACAUAAAACAUAUGAGUGACCACAGAACAUUAAGCAAAGAAUUUUCACUCCCCAAAUACGUCAUUUCAUUUCAAACAGCAGUUCAAUAAUAAAUAUAAAUAAUUCAAAUACUACACCUUACAAGACCAACACAUUAGUCUCCUGAUGUAUGUACUCAAUUGCGCAUGUCUCUUUUGUGUUUGCUAGUUUGUUAGUGUGAUGUUUAUUUUUUAGAAGAAACAAAUUUCAUUCCAAAAAAUGAAAAUGUACAAAAAGUAAACAAGAAGUCCACCAAUGGACUGGAUAAAACCGUUUGAGUGAUUUUGUUCACUAGAAUCUGUUUGCAAUAUGUGUCCCAUCAAUAUUCUACUAUGCAAUUAAAAAUAAAAUAUAUAUUCUCAUACAAUAUUUGAUAAGAAAAGAAAUUUUUUAUUUAUAAAGAUUAAAUUAAAAUUUCUCUCCCAGGUAUAUUUAGUGAAGGACAACAAUCCUGGAUCACUUGCCGAAGGUGCACUGCUUGCUGUUGGCGGGCGCUAUGACUAUUUACUUCGUCAAAUGUGGGGUCUUGAACAUGUAAGUUACACGCAUUUACUUUCGUCUAGUUACCUUUUGUUGUUUACAGGACCAGAGAGUGCUGGAAACCACAAGAGUUCUGAGUAUAUAAUAUAUAUAGAUGUGGGUGAACAAUUGAUAAUGUGCUUGAGCUCUUUUUCAUUUGCAUAUGCCAGUGCCCUUGUUACUGCCUAAGUUGCUGAAUAGAAAAUUUGGAACUGAAUUUAGUAUGCCACCUCUGACUUGACCAUCACAAGGCAAAUUAUACUUGACUACUUUGUUAUAAAACCCAUCAUGCUACUGAAGUACUUUUACUACUUUUGAGGUUUAUGUAAAUUUUCAAAGAAAUUGCAUGAUACCAAGAAAUCAGAGGUUUAAACGUGGUAAAUCUUCAAUACCAUUCAUUGAGACAAGCAAUGUGUUGGAAGAGUUUUGUGCUUCAUAGAACAGUUUUGUUCUUAGUGGCUGUCAAAAUUUGGAGUGUUGGUGGUAUAUGCAAUUGGUGGUAGGUAUCAGAUUUUGGUAGGAUAUGUGGUUGGGAAUCACAUCUUGCAAUCACGUUUUUUAUUUUUCCUGUGAAAACAGUUGUUGCCAGGUUUGCUCCCAUGCCUUUUGAAUUGGGGAGUUGGUUUUGGAGUUGGUGAUGGCUGUAUUGUGGGUUAUCUGAAAGGAGAGACAUAUGAGGUACAAGAGCUGUGGAGAGGGCGAGGUUUUCAUCGGUCCUUAGGGUUUCAGUUACACGAGAAUUUGAGGAUUUUACUAUCUCUUUAUGGGCUAAAUUGGAAGGCAGCUAUAGGAUAAUGUGGCUGUAGUAGGUUCAUUGUUUAUCUCUGUGAAUCAGACGUACUCUUUUAUUGGUGCCUCCUUGUUUACUAAUCGUAGUGUGUCUUUCAUCUUCUCUUAAUUCAAAUUUUGUCAUUUCUAAGGAAAAAGAAAACAUAUUGAAAGGCAUUGGAUAAGUUUUACCAACCAUAUGAUUUAUAUUUAUGCUAUACUUACAUCUUGUGUUCUUUCUUUUUUUACAUUGACAAUGGUUUUUGUUUUGUUUUUGUUAGAAAUCAAAUCCUCCGGGUGCUGUUGGGACCAGCCUUGCAUUAGAGACAAUAAUUCAGCUUUCUUCUAUAGAUUUUAAACCAAUCAGGUAUAUUUUUACUAGCUUAUUUUAGUCUGUCUUGUUACGUUGCUACUUGCCGCUAAAAGUCCUCAUCAUUAUCUUUAAUUUAGAUAAAUUUCUGUAUGAUUUGAUUUUAUUCUUGCAGAAAUGAAGUUAGCAACAUUGUUCUUGUUUGUUCAAAAGGAGGAGGUGGUCUAUUGAAAGAGCGCAUGGAACUAGUCGCCGAGCUAUGGGAGGAAAACAUUAAGGUUUUGAGAUGGAAUUUUCAAAGAUUUUAUGCUACAAAUGGUUGCUUAACUGAUUCUGUGCUGACUAGCGAAUCCUUUGUCUAUUAGGCUGAGUUUGUCCCAACACCUGAUCCAAGUCUUACAGAGCAGUAUGAAUAUGCAAAUGAACAUGACAUAAAGUGCCUUGUCAUCAUAACAGACACAGGUGUUUCACAGAAAGGCUCUGUUAAGGUAAUAUAUGUGCUAAUGUAGGAAUAAUAGCUUAGCACAAUUGAUAUGUCAAAAUGUGUGUUUAUGUUGAUACCAUAAUACACUCGCUGGCAAGAGAACAUUACUAGUGUGUGUGUGUGUAUAUAUAUAUAUAUAUAUUAGUAAGUGAAUGGUUUUCUCCGUGAAAAGUAGGUAAAACCAAAGUUGGGAAGUUGAGAAAUGACAUUGCAUCUGCAGUAAGACGCUAUAAAUUUGGCAUCAAUUGAUUAAGUUCUUUUCUGCGUUUACCAUGAAGAAUUUACGUUUAGUUGGAAGUGGUCCUAGAGGAAGACCUAGGAAAACUUUGGAAGAGACUCUAAGAAAAGACUUAGAGUACUUGGAUCUAACGAAGGACAUGACACAUGAUCGAGCACAAUGGCGUUCUAAGAUUCAUAUAGCCGAUCCCACUCAGUGACUUGGAUUUUUCAAGUCUCCAACCGAGAAGUUUUCCUCACUCGGAAAAUUAAGGGAACACUACCCCAACCUACAUGCUCCACUCAGAAAGCUUCAACAUACAAGCUUCAACAAAAGAAAAUUCAAAGAACUUAGCGAAGAAGGCUUUGGUGUAUCUAACACAAUACGUUGAAAUGAAGGAAAGCUUAUUUAUUGAUAUCCCCCGAUAAGCUACAAAAUAUGUACAUAUACAUGAGUCAAAAUAAACACACAAGAGGGAGCCUUCACAAAGGUUGCUUAGGAGAAGUCUCAGCAGUCGGUAGAGCCCCAGAAAGAGAAGGCACCGGAGGGGGAUCAUUUGGAGCCUCAGUACUGGACAGAACCCUAGAAGGAGGAGGCAUCAGAGGUUGAUCAUUUGGAGCUUCAUUACGCGGUACAGCCCCAGAAGACGAAGGCAAAUAAAUGCCUUUGGAACAAACCCACAAAUCUCUGAUGAUCAAGUAAAACCUGACCAUCAGUUUCCCUUCAUCUGGUCAAGCUUCCUCUUCAUGUUUGUAGCAUAGUCAUGUGCGAGCCGGUGCAACUGUUUAUUCUCAUGCUUGAGCCCUCUAAUCUCCUGUUUGAGACUCAUCACUUCAGCCGCCAAUGAUGAUUCAACUUGGCGGGUUCGAGCAAAUAGGCGUUGGGCCAUAUUAGACACAGAACCUGCACACUGAACACUGAGAGCCAGCGAAUCCUUAACAGCUAACUCAUCAGACCGUUUGGAAAGUAGUCUGUUAUCUUUGGGAGUGAGAAGGUUCCUGGCCACCACCGCAGCGGUCAUAUCAUUCUUCAUCACGGAAUCCCCAACGGUAAGAGGACCAGUAGGGGAGACGAAGGAUGGGCGCCAUAUGUUGUCUGGAGAAGGCGGGGCUGCCUCUUUCAACAAGGUUCAAGUCAAAACGACGGUCGGAGGGGCCAGACAUUUUCAAAGGUGUUGAAGAGAGAAGAGGUCGGACAAAUCAAGAUCUUAGAAGUGCAAGAAUGAAGCUUCUACUGGUGGAGAUUCAAGUGUGCUUUGGAACUUAAUGCCAGCCCCUAUAAAAAUCUGCACUCGACGGAGCUUCAGAAAUCGAAGAGGCGCCCUGCUCAGAAAUCGAAGAGGGCGUUUGCUUUCUCAAAAGCUGGGCUGCUUAGAGAUCACGAGGGUUUGAUCUCAGAAAUCGAAGAGGCGUUUGCUUUCUCAAAAGUUGGGCUGCUCAAAGACCUCGAAGGCUGAUCUCAGAAAUCGAAGAGGCGCUCGCUUUCUCAAAAGCUGGGCUCCCCAAAGACCACGAGGGCCGAUCUCAGAAAUCGAAGAGGCACCUACUUUUCCAGCCUUGUCAGCACCUGUCACACGCACACUCAGCUUUGCGAAAAUUAUGGGCAUUCUGUCGAAGACUUCUGGGGAAGUAGAAAACACAUGAAUCUUACUGUUCAAUCACCCACUUCCCACACGCAACAAUAGCUCAUGGGUACCACAGAUAACUUUGCCAAAGUUCUCUGCCAAAGUUCUCUGCCAAAGUUGAGCACGUGAAGCUUGCAGCUCCUACUACAUCGCUCUGACCAAGAAGGGUAAAAGAAUAGCAAAGAAACAGCACUAACAAAGUUUAGACCCAUAAAUUUUGAAGGUCUAGCUACCAUAUUAUUACCCAUAAGGGUAAAGGAACAAUACCACUGCUGGAUAAUUGGAAAGUCCUUGUGUGUCAACGUCUGUGCUUCGUGGCAAGGUAGACUAGCAAACAUGCCCAACCUUUACUCACAUUCGAGAAAACACUCCCAAUAAGAUUGCUUGCUCCAAAAUCGAAGAGGCACCGUCCUCCGAAUCUCGAGAGCCAGACUCUCAACAUGACUACUUUCUUAAAAAUCGAAGAGAGGGUAAAGGAACAGUACCAUUGCUGGAUAAUUGGAAAGUCCCUGUGUGUCAACCUCUGUGUGCUUCAUGGCAAGGUAGACUAGCAAACAUGCCCCAACCUUUACUCACAUUCGAGAAAACACUCCCAACAAGAUUGCUUGCUCCAAAAUCGAAGAGGCACCGCCCUCCGAAUCUCGAGAGCCAGACUCCCAACAUGAUUACUUUCUCAAAAAUCGAAGAGACACUGCUCCCCGAAUCUUCGAGAGCCAGACCCCCAGCAUGAUUGCUUUCUCAAAAAUCGAUGAGGCAUCGUUCUCCGAAUCAAUCGAAGAGGCGCUCGCUUUCUCAAAAGCUGGGCUGCUCAGAGACCACGAGGGUCCGAUCUCAGAAAUCGGAAGAGGCACCUACUUUUCUAGCCUUGUCAGCACCUGUCACACGCACACUCAGCUUUGCAGAAAUUAUGGGCAUUCUGUCGAAGACUUCUGGUGAAGUAGAAAGCACAUGAAUCUUACUGUUCAAUCACCCACUUCCCACACGCAACAAUAGCUCAUGGGUACCACAGAUAACUUUGCCAAAGUUCUCUGCCAAAGUUGAGCACGUGAAGCUUGCAGCUCCCACUACAUCGCUCUGACCAAGAAAGGUAAAAGAAUAGCAAAGAAACAACACUAACAAAGUUUAGACACAUAAAUUUUGAAGUUCUAGCUACCAUAUUAUUACCCACAAGGGUAAAGGAACAAUACCACUGCUGGAUAAUUGGAAAGUCCUUGUUUGUCAACCUCUGUGCUUCGUGGCAAGGUAGAGACUAGCAAACAUGCCCAACCUUUACUCACAUUCGAGAAAACACUCCCAACAAGAUUGCUUGCUCCAAAAUCGAAGAGACACCGUCCUUCGAACCUCGAGAGCCAGACUCCCAACAUGACUACUUUCUCAAAAUCGAAGAGAGGGUAAAGGAACAGUACCAUUGCUGGAUAAUUGGAAAGUCCCUGUGUGUGUCAACCUUUGUGCUUCGUGGCAAGGUAGACUAACAAACAUGCCCAACCUUUACUCACAUUCGAGACAACACUCCCAACAAGAUUGCUUGCUCCAAAAUCGAAGAGGCACCGCCCUCCGAAUCUCGAGAGCCAGACUCCCAACAUGAUUACUUUCUCAAAAAUCGAAGAGACACUGCUCUCCGAAUCUCGAGAGCCAGACCCCCAGCAUGAUUGCUUUCUCAAAAAUCGAAGAGGCAUCGUUCUCCGAAUCUCGAGAGCCAGAUACCACAGACCACUUUUUCAAAGUGCUCUGACAGAGUUAAAACAUGUGAAACUGGCAGCUCCCACUACCGUGCUAUGACCAAGCAGGGUAAAGGAAUAGCAUUACUACUUGUUAGGGAGACUCCUAUAUAUGUCGACCUCCAUCCCCAACAGACAUGCAGACCUGCAAAAAUGCUCAACCCUUCAUCAUAUCUGAGAGGGCACUCCCAACGAAGCCUUUCGAAAUAUUCAGCUUUCUUUCCCCCCGAUAAUACCUCUGCAAACAAGCUAUACUAGAGCAAGAAUAUCUCAUAUCAUCAGGGUUAAAAGCAAGAGUAUCCCAUAUCAUGCUUUUUCCCUGUCUUUUCCUUUGGCCUUGUUUUUACCUGCAAGACAAGGAGAAAGAGAGCAAUCAGUCAGCACUUGGAAUCAAGCUUCCAGCCAGGAACUGACUGCCUGGAACCCCUUACCUGAUUACUUACCUGGCAUUGCUCUCGAGUACUCAUCUUCAACAUCUUAUGUUUCCAGGGAAGAUUCCGCAUCUGCUUGAGGAACAGAUAGGGCAAGUGCGAAGGAUACAAGGAAGCAUGUGGAGACAAGCGUAACAGCACACGUGCCGAUACAUCCAUUACUCUGUCAAAAGCAAAAGUAUCCCAUAUCAGCAGGGUGGAACGUACUCUAGAUUUGAUGGACUUGUUUUGACCCUCAAAUUCUUCAGUCGGCCUUAUACUCUGGAGGAAACCAGAAAACCCUCCAGCUCAGUUCAAGAAUAAGCCUGUGGAAAGUUACUUCUUCAAAAGCAAAAGUAUCUCAUAUCAUCUCUUCUCAUUUUUCUUCUCUUUAUCCUUCAUGCUGCUGCAAGAUGGGGAGAAGGUGAACAAUCAGUCGGAGCUCUGAUUGCUUACCUUGUCUGUCACCUCUUUCAGCAGACCCCCUAGCUCGGCGACUUGGGGGACUCUUACUACAUGGUUUGUAUCGCGCUUGACCAAGCCUGAAACUACAAGUAAGCUUCAAGUGAAAUUGAUACAUUACCUUGUGCAUCUCCACCAGUUAAAGAUACCACCCCUGGAUGGAGGAAGAGUACUUCCAGAGAAGAUGUCACAUCUACCUAUGAGACAGAUAAGGCAAGUCAAGACGACACCACACUCCGAUACUUAGAAGUUUCGUGAUUACGAGAUCAUUCUCCCACAAUAUUUCCUAAUGUCAUUUGUACUAAAUCAUUCACUUGUACUCACUAAAGGAGAGCUUGAACCUAUGUACUUGUGUAAACCCUUCACAAUUAAUGAGAACUCUUCUAUUCCGUGGACGUAGCCAAUCUGGGUGGGUGAACCACGUACAUCUUGUGUUUGCUUUCCUAUCUCUAUCCAUUUAUAUACUUAUCCACACUAAUGACCGGAGCAAUCUAGCGAAGAUCACAAAAAGCGACCGUUUUCGCUACCUAGGAUCUAUCUUGCAAGAGAACGGAGAAUUAGAGAUGGAGAUCUCAACCAUAGAAUACGAGAUGGAUGGAUGAAGUGUAAGAAUGCAUCCGGCGUGUUGUGUGUGACCGUCGUAGGCCACUGAAGCUCAAGGGAAAAUUUUAUAGGAUGGCAAUAAGGCCAGCGAUGUUGUAUGACACAGAAUGUUGGGCGGUGAAGCAUCAACACGUACACAAAAUGGGUGUAGCGGAGAUGAGGAUGCUUCGUGGGAUGUGUGGGCACACGAGAAAGGAUAAGAUUGGGAAUGAGGAUAUCCGAGGUAAAAGUAGGAGUAGCCGAAAUUGUAGGAAAGAUGAGAGAAAAUCGGCUCCGGUGAUUUGGACAUGUGCAAAGAAGGCCGAAUGACGCUCCGGUUCGAAGAUGUGACUACGGGACAGAGGUUCAGGGCCGAAAGGGUAGAGGAAGACCUAGGAAAACUUUGGAAGAGACUCUAAGAAAAGACUUAGAGUACUUGGAUCUAACGGAGGACAUGACACAAAACCGAGCGCAAUGGCGUUCUAGGAUUCAUAUAGCCGACCCCACUUAGUGGGAAAAGGCUUUGUUGUUGUUGUUGUUGUUGUUGUUGUUAUAUCUAAAGUUCAACGUUCUUUCUUUAUGAUCAACUAUUGCAGUGUUAUUUUACCCUGUACGUAUGAGUGUUAUCCAUUUUGAUUGGAUUUCGAUGAUGGUCAUUCUCAGAAGGCUCAUAACCUAUAAAAAUUUCUGAUUGCUUCGUUUCUAGAUGACUAAGUAUAUACCACUGGUCCACCGUACAGAUUUAUUAUAUUUCAAGAAACAUAAAUGAAUUGGAUGAAAAAUAAAAGAAUUUGAUAAUAAAUCUGGGGGUGGUUUUGAGAGAAAAUCUUCGCCCCAGAUUACAGCCUACAAGACUUAAUGUCGAUUAAACCUUCGAUUCUUGAAAAGCAUGGAUUCAUCUCCUGAAUUAAUUUUGGAACUUUGUUUAACUGUAUCUCCAGGUCCGUCAUCUUGAACUCAAAAAAGAAAAGGAAGUUGACAGAGAAGAUCUUGUCAGGUUUCUGCUGGAUGCAAUGGCGAUACAAUUUAGAAAUCCUUCCAUUUGGACUUAGGCGUGUCAUCAAAAGCACAACUUUUUCUGGUAUGUGAAUCAAGGUGCCGAAGUACCUGCAUAAUUUCUGCAUAUAAGAUUGCUUGUGAAAAUAGUCCCAACAAUAGCAGCUUUGUUAGGAGCCCUCAUAUGGUGUGUACACUGAUUAUCCAGCCCAUGUCCUGUUUCCACAUUUUGUUCAGCUUUCCUUCAAACCUGUUGAAUUCGGGGGUGGUUAUGCGGUUGAGUUUAGUUUUCUUUUCUUGUGGGAAGAUUGUUUAGGGUUCGUCACUUUGUAUCUGAAUUCGCAAAUUUGUACAUAUUUACGAGCCAACUUGUCUAAUGAGACAGAAAAUAGCAAUAGCAAUGCUUUGUCAUGUGAAACAGUAUGUCAUAUUUCUUUUAAUGAAGAAAAUUUUUGGAAAUUCUUAAAGCUAACGGAAGACUUGGCCCAAAACCAAGGACAGUAACAUUCUGAGAUUUAUACAGCUGAUCCCACUAACCACUUAGUGGGAUAAGAUUUUGUUGUUGUAAGAGAAAUUUUGGGAAUCAAAACUUCCCAUCGUCUCUAAUUGUCCUCAUUUGGUUGACAACGACAGCCAUAGGCGCAUCCGCUUUCCGGGCGACAUUGCAGAGCAAGAAAUUCCUUUCUGCAUUACUGAAACCAAACAUUCCUCAAAUCUUGUUGCAUGGAGUGGAGCACGGUCACAAUAUCAUGACAUGGUCAGGCAACACUGUAGCUGCAAAUUUAUGAAUGCUUAGACCAUCGUUGAACGUGUCGUCUGUAGGUCUUUUUUCCAAUGAAAAGCUCUAGCAACAAUAUCUCCUACUUGUAUGUUGGAGCGAGAUUUCCUACGAGAAGAAAUACCUCCACAGAUUUGUUGACCGCAAUUCUCAUGUUCGCCGAAUCCUUCUUUGAAGUAUCCCAAAAUAAUCUUCCUCCACAACUUGCCCGGGCGGGUACCUAUGAAAGAUACUUCGACGCUCAAGUCAGUCGAUUGGUUUAUAUUCUUUGGAUUUUCUUAGGUUCUCCUCACAUACCUUGUUCUUUGGCUCCUCUCCCUAUUUAUAGGAUUGCAUGCUUGAGGAUCAAGCACCACGACCAGACCUCCUUUCGCACUUCCUUAGUGGUCAUGUCAUAUGACUGCAUGCUUUAGGAACAAGUGCCAUUACCUGUCGCCCUUUCCCACUUCUCCUCUGUAGUGGGGUAGUUAUCUAGGCACGUUCCCUUGCGUCCGUAUAUUUCUAGUGGGCUUUUUACCGUGCACAACACUUUCUCCUUGGAUGAUUGGUAUUGGUCCAUGAGUUGAAACCGGAUUUUAUCCUCCCAUAGUGGCCCCUUUUUCCCCUUUUUACGCAUGUGAAUUAGAGGAAAACUGAGUUUUUCGAUCUCUUGGGGCCUUGAAACUACUCUUUAAGCCAAGCUAAACUUGAAGCACUUUUUACUAAGGCCAAAUUUGUGGAAGUUGCUUUUUCUAAGAGUAAAUGUAAAUUUAUCGAAGCCUUCGUUUUGUUUGCUUGACAUUCAGAUGCUCAACUAGCUUUUUCGCCUUGUCAUAUCUUCGCAUAAUUUACGAGCGUCAAUAGACAUCUCCUCAAAAUUUACGAAUAAGGGCUGACAUCUUCCCACUAUGAUUUUCGAACGAGGAUAUACGAACGAGGACUGACACAUUGCGAAAGUGGACUGACAUGAUUUACGAACGAGGAUUUAUGAACGAGGACUGACAUCUUAUGAACGUUGAUUGACAAAAUUUGACUAAGUAGGUUGUCUGACAGGCUAUACAAAUAUGUACUUAUUAUAUAAACCACUAUCCCAUCUUGUUGAACUGACGAACGCAGUAGCUGCAGCACAGAAGCCUAAAAGCGUCCCCCUCGCCGAACAUGCCUAGUCUGCACACCCAUAUGCUUUUAUACAGAUACACACACGUAUAUAUACAUAUAUAUAUAUUGACACUGACACCGACACUAACUUGCUUUUCUAUAUAUAUAUAUAUACAUGCAUUCCGAACCUGACUUGCUUUUCUAUAUAUAUAUAUAUAUAUAUAUAUAUUUAUAUGCAUUCCGACCCUGACUUAUUAUAUAAAUAUGCACACACACACACAUAUACAUAUGCACACUUUUGCAGACAUCACAUCCUUGCUAGACUUGCACAUCGGGCUAUCUAUCUAACCACACACACACACACAUAUAAAUAUAGGGGUGUGCUAUCCACACACCCCUUUUUACUUCUCACACACCCCUUAUUAAUUUUUGUCUGUUGAUUUUUUUCAAUUCAUCUGAUCCGACGGUCGAAAACUAAAAAGGUGUGGGAAAAGUAAAAGGGGGUGUGUGGAUAUCACACCCCAUAAAUAUAUAUAUGUCUAGGCACAUAGGCAUAUAUACGCACACCUACGCGCAACAUCUACGUGCAUAUCUCUGCGUACUUACAUGCAAAUCUCUGUACGUACUUUUCAUAUAUUUGUAUAUAUCUCUAUGCUCACAUGCAUAUAUAUAUAUAUAUAUGUGUGUGUGUGUGUGUGUGUGUGUGUGUCAUUACCUUGGGUUUCUCCAUCCCACUUUGCUUCACUUCCUCUGCUCAAUUUCUCCACCAUGCCUGUGAUUUCUCAAGUGGCCUCUUGGCUUACAGGUAACUCUUUAUUUCAAACCCCACUUGUGGGAAUACUCCACAAAUUCCUCUUUUAAAUAAAAGAUAUUCCUUUUUAUGAUAGGAGAACAAUGUCCCAUUGCUUGAGCUUUUACUUUUGCACACGUAAUGCCUCAUCUUCUUUGCAAACACACAAUGUGUUCAAGGAGGAAAAUCCGAUUAAAUUCGCCCUUUAAUUAUUGAUCUCAAAACUGUUCAACCUUGAAUUUCCUCUUAAUCAAUUUUUUUUUACCUAUUCGAUCUUGGAUUUUCGAUCUUGGUUAGGUCUUUGCCCAUUCGAUCUUGGGUUUUCUUUUCCUACUCGAUCUUAGAUUCUCGAUCCUGAUUGGGUCUCUGCCCAUCGAUCUUGGGUUUUCUUUUCCCACACGAUCUUAGAUUUCCGAUCUUGAUUGGGUCUCUGCCCAUCUGAUCUUGGGUUUUCUUCUCCCAUAGGAUCUUAGAUUUCCGAUCUUAAUUGGGUCUCUGCCUUUUCGAUCUUGGGUUUUCUUUUCCAACUCGAUCUUAUGUUUUCGAUCUUCAUCUCUUGGUUUCUACUAUUCAGCUUUAGACUUUAGUCUAAGAUUCGAAUGAAGUGUAACUUUAUUUAUCAUACAAUAAGGAGAUGUCAACAGACAUCCAAGGAUACACCAUUUGACAUGCAAGGAAGACAAGAAGGGAUUUACCCUUCAACAUUGCUGGAAACAAAAAUUCAAAUACGGAAAACAUAAACACGAAAAGUUAAUUAUGGUACUUUCUCAAAUGAAUUGUGUUCCAUGGGCGCGACACGUACUGACCUUUUUCAACAUGCUUGAGUUUAUAAGCUCCAUUUCCGAAGGCUUCGAUAAUCAUUGGUGGCAUGACCAAAGUCGUUGUGAUGAGCACACAUCUUGUUCUUGUCUCACUUUUCUAGCGGCAUUUGAAUUGGUGCUGGCGCACGAAAGAUUCAUUUUCCCUUGUUCUCGUGGAAAAUUUUGCCCAGGCUCACUGUCAGCUUGGUGUUUAGGCGAUCAAGUCUAGAUCUUUCAUUAAACCCAUCAUUUGGAUCACGUGUGAAUCUUCUUUCCUGCCUCGGUUUGUUAGGAAUUUGGCUCGUCAAAUAUGUCCUAGUUGGUUUAUGAUUGUUUUAGGAGACCUAAAGGUAUACCGAUUCUUGUCCUAGAGGGAUUAGGAAAGAAUUUCAGUUUCCUUAUUCAAUUUAGGUUUGGAUUUCUAGAAGUCUAUUUGGAUUUGGAUAAGUGUAAUUUCCUAAUCCACUUAGAAAUAGGAAUUCAAUCAGCUUUGGGACAUGUAAGCCAACCCUAUGUCUAUAAAUAGGGUGCGGCAAGGCUGAUUUUUUAAGAGAGAAAGAAAACAGCUAGACAGCCAAGAGUUUUGAGAUUAGUUCUAGGGUUUGCAAAAGUUCUGUAAUCUCUAUUAUUAAUUAAAGGAACGGUGAUUUCUUUACCUAGAGAAAUCACAACUGGACGUAGGCAUAAGUUUUGCCGAACCAGUAUAAUUCUUGUGUGUUUCUAAGUUUUCUAAUAUUUGCUAGUUUAGUCUAUUGUCGUUGGUUGUAUUAAAGAACAAGGUCUAGUGUGCAGGUUUUUCAACACAGUUGAGCCGUGCGUUUCAAGAUUUUGAUGCCUUAUACUUCUUAAAGCUUUGCAUUCAACAAAUAAACUCUCAAACGUUCCUUGUUGAUGAAGGUUUAAUACCUUAACAGCAACUAUCGUCCUAUCGCUAGGGAGUUCCCCUUUGUAAACAAAACCAAAACUUCCCAAACCAAUCAAAUUGUCCAUAGAGAACCCAUUCGUUGAUUCGAGAAGUUCAUGAUAAGACACACUGGAUUUCCAAUUUUUAUAAGAAUGUGCUGUUAGAGGUCUACCUCUUUGUGAAUAUAUAGUUUACAUACCUAAUUUUCACUCAAAUGAUAAUUUAAGAACUAAAUCGACAAUUCACUUGAAAUAAAAUUAAUUGUUCAUUGGGUACAACGGUUGCGUUUCUGAGGUUGGACAGAGAGGAACAAGUCCAAAUGCCUAGGACCGCGAUUGGAUUGGGCCGACUAAGAUUUUGCGUGUGUUAUUUACACUAUGAUUUACUUUACCCAGACUCUGGUUAAACAUCAUGCUCAGCAAUUUGAAUCCAAUAUCCAUCACAGUAACACAUGUUUGAGUGUUUCGCCAUCCUUUUUCAUUCCUCUUUUUCCUCGUAUAUUUUGUUGAAAUCAAAUAACUAAAACCAAAAACGAAAUGAUUAUCUAAUUAAUAGUUCGCGGAUAGACCCAAAAUGAUAUGUAAAAUAACGGAUAAUUAACGGGGUCUAUUUGUUAACGACUAGACCCGUCAAACAUCCACCCAAAUGUUGAUUUUAACUGGUUGGGGAGCUAAUUAUGCCUUGUGUUAUAGUUAAUUAGUGCAAAUUACCCUAAACCCUAAACCCAAUCAGUCAAUUAAGUUAAUUAAUUUUGUGAAUUGAAGGGAAUUUUGCAUGACUUGGAAUAUUUGGAUGAACGCAAUAAAACUGCAAGGACAAAAAUGAAACCAAAAGAAAGAAAAAAAAAACCUUCAUGGGCAAAAGUGAAAUCGAUGCAAUUUUUGAAGAAUAUAAUAACAAGGACAGCCACCACAUACUGUAUUUCUAUCUACACUUUUCUCACUUCAUAGUCAGAAUCGUUCAAUAUUUUAAACAGUAUCUCAAAUCGAUCAAACAUAAAGUACCAGACAUUACCAAUCGCAAAACCUCCCUUGCCGGCUGUGCUUCUGCUCAUUGAUCCUUCUUCCGGCAAUGCAACACGACGCAAAUCGGUGUCAACAUGGUUGGAUGCAUGUUGAGCAUCUGGUCAGUAAGCCGUUGUCGGCGUUUCGCUGUACGUGUUCUUGUAAAUGUUGCAUAAGCUUUGAAGGAUGCCAUUGGAAUCUUGUUAGGGAUGAACCCAUGGCAGUUGUUAUAGUUCCACUUGGCUUCAACAUCUCAAUUACAAAAUGCGUCGUCAAGUUUUGAUUUUCUGACAUUUCACGAUUAGGUUUUGAAAUAAGUAUCAAUUUAUGUUUAAUUUAAUUUGAAUAUAUGGUUCUUCAUUGUGUUUGAUGACGUGACAAGCACAUUGACUCCUUUAUAAGUUGACGUGGAAGCCACACUUGCAUCACAUAGAUUAAAACGAGUCACAUAAACUAAAAUAUAUUUAAAAAAAAGGUAAAUCGUAGCUAGUAAAAAAUGAAAAACGAAAAAGAGUUGCAAACGUGAUAUUAGCUCAAUCGAUUAAGACCGUUCACCUGACGUACCAAAUUGUUAGAACUGAAUAAACAAAAGAACUGAUUGUCACAGAAUACAAGUGGCAGUCAUAAUACUAAUACUCCCAUUAAUUUUUUUUACAUUUCAUCCUCCAAUAAACUAAAUGCAAACCUGCCAACAUUAAUCAAAUCAAAGAUUUUGAUCAUCUUACUUCCUUCUGCUCGGCCAGUUUUUAAAAAUUAUGCCUCAAGAAUAACUUCUCUUGAGGUGAUGCAGGUCCAAUCUCUUCUUCCAAGCUCCUCAAACCAUCACCACCACUCCCACAGUUGCCCAAAUUUCUACCCUCUGUGGUCUUCCCAUCGGCAUCGGCAUCUGAGGCCGAGGACUUCCUCCUCUGGGAAGAAGCAACACUCGGAAAUGUGAUCCAUGAAGGAGCUCGGAAUUCAAACCUUUGCGCGUCCUCCAGUUCUACCACAUCGGUGUCGACUGACCUGUUUGAAGAUCUUUGUGAGGAUUUUUUGUGCAUUCUACUGCUUCCCAAUACCACCUCGGUUGGCAGAAUAGGUUGCUCGUUACAGGGGCUGCCCAUUAGCAUGGCAAGAGCUCGUUCUAGCGCUGUCGUCACCUUGUCCAUUGAUGGCCUCUCCUUCCCUCUCAUUCUCACACAUUUGCAGGCUACAUUGGCAAUUCUUUUCAAGGCUUCGAGGUCAGGUGGGGGUUUCAAAACUGGAUCCAAAAUUGUACUUAUGUCUCCUGACUUGAUCAGAGGCACUGCCCAUUCAACUAUAUUUCCGUCUUCGUACUGCAUAUCGAUGGCUUUUCUGCCACUAAGAAUCUCCAAAAGUAAAACACCAAAACUGUAAACAUCAGAUUUGGUUGUAAGGUAAUGAAGUCUGUAGUACUCAGGAUCAAGAUACCCUAGAGUUCCGGCUGGUAGCUCCGCCAAUGGGGAGCCACUGUCUGCAGGUCCCAGUAACGACAAACCAAAAUCAGCAACUCGAGCAUUGUGCUCCUCAUCAAUGAGAAUGUUUGAAGACUUAAUGUCUCGAUGAAUCACCGGUGGGCAAGCAUAACCGUGCAAGUAUUCAAUUCCCCGAGCUGCUUGGACUGCAAUAGUGACCCUUCGAACCCAAUCCAAUUGCUCUUUCAAGGCUUUGUUCUUUCCGUGGAGAUGCUGAUGCAAUGAUCCAUGAGCCAUGAACUCGUAAACAAGAAGACUUUGUCCGCCUUCUUCACAAUAUCCGAGCAGAUUGAGUAAAUGUGCGUGGUUUAACCGUGAGAGCAAGUCUAGCUCUGUAUGGAACUCUUUCGAAUUCUUUUGCAUGUUAGGAGACAUUAUAGCCUUUUUGACAGCAACAACUGUCCCAUCUUUUAGAACACCUCUGAAAACACAGGAAAAGCUUCCCUUUCCAACAACAGACUCCUCUCCAAAGCCGGCUGUGGCCCUUUCAAGCUCCUCAUACGUGAACAUCUGAGCUCUCCUUAUCUUCAGGUCAUCCAACUCGGGACGAAUCUUACCAUUGUCCUUCUGGAAAGAUGCAUCCUGACCAUUCUUUUUCGAAUUCAAAUCUUUUCCUGUGCACUGACAGUUGCGUAAUCUGUAGCGAACAUAUAAAAUUGCAGUUAUAGACACAACACUCACCAAGAACAGAGCAAAAGCAACCUCCGCAAUAAUGAUAGGCAAUUGCAUGGACCAAAACCUUUCAUUCUUCUUGCCAUAUGAAGAUGAACAAUUUGAGAAACAUUCAGCAGAGUAACAGAUAGAACAGUUAUAUUCACACUGUCUAUCAGAUUUCAAAGUACAUUCGGUUUUUUGGUACAUUUCAUCUGGACAAUCAUUGCUGCACGGCAUGCAAAUAUGAGAGUUAGGUAACUUGCAAGAGGCACUCUCAUUACUGAGCUCAUAGAAACCAGGAGCGCACGGAGUGGACUUGCAGAAUCCAGGUGCCACAGGUAAUGGAAGAGAAGUUGGGAAUCCAUGUCCCCAGCAAACCGGUAAGAAUGAUUUGUCAGCAAGAAUUCCACAAGUGAAGUAAUUUCCAGCAGCAAUCUCAUAAACCUUGGUACCAUUAGGAGCAGGUGUACUUUGUUUCACAAUAAACCCCCAACAAAUCACCUCACGGUCAUAGCUCUUAAUUCCGCAAGCAUGGAACUUCCCUCCAACAACUGAAAGCAUUGGGUCAUUUGGAGCCAUAUCAACAUUGCCCUGACCUGAAUAUGCCACUGAAAUUUCUUCUUCCAUGACCAAGCUUCUUCCCCAACAAACGGUUCUGGAAUUCACGGGCUCCAGAAUCCCACAAACAUGAUACCCACCAGCUGAAAUCUUCCGAAACCUCAUAUCUUUGGGGAUCAAGCUGAUAACCCUGCUACUAGUCUCAUCACCCCAGCAAAAGACAGUUCUGUUCUGGGAAAACAAUCCACAAUUGAAUUCUGAGCCAGCUGAAAUCGACUGAAUCUGCCCAUCAAACACAUAGUUUUUGGUCAUGUUAUAUCCCCAACAAUCAACAAAAGAGGUGUUUCUGAGCCUGCCAGUUAAAGGUUUUCGUAAUCCACACAUAUGAUAAUCACCAGCACUGAUUUCUAAAUAUUGAGCUUCUUUAACAAUGGGUUGAGGGACACCCAUUUGGAUAUAACCGCUGCUUCCCCAACAAUAUGGCUGGUUGGAAUCCAUGAGAAGUCCACAAACAAAUCCAUCACCAGCAGUUAAACCGAUAAAUGGGAAUCGAUUAGGAGCCCCGUAUGUAAUUGCUGAGUUUGAUCCAUAGCAGGUCACAAGAUGAGACCCAUCUAAUUUUAACCCACAGAAAACUGAACCUUUCUCUCCAUAAGAAACUGCAAUGGCUGACAUGGAACCUAGUCCUGAAGCUAAACACCAUAAAUCUGAUAAAACUACAAGUUCAGCAAGAAAUCCAGCUCUCAGUAUGCUGAUAUUAAGAACCCAGAUCAGGAAAUCAUUUACUGAAAACCCCAUUAUAACAAGCCACUGUAAAGCUACUCAAAGAUAAAGUUUCACCCACCAACUAAAGUUGCUGACUUUUAUUUCCUUCCAAUUGAAGGACAAAGUCUAGUAUCCAAUGCAGUAAUUUACAAGGAAAAUCUGUGUUUCUGGUGUUUUUCUAAAGAAAUGCAACCACAUUAUACUCCCCUUUUCUCCAUAACGAAAAAUGAAGAAAAAGGCGAAAAAUUAAACUAAGUGGCCAUGAAUUGAUGAACAGAAAAAGAGGAGAAUGUGUGACAAACCCACGUACCAGAAGCAACAGAUCAGCAAAAACCAAGCAGGACCCAAAUCAGAAAAUCCCCUUCUGAAGCAGACAACUUUUGCAAAAAGAUUAAUAAAGGUAACAACUUUAGAGAAGCCCACACCUCCAAGUUAUCUGUUGCUGAAAACUCAUGUGAGAAAACCUCAUGUUUUUUCACUUUUCUGGUGCUGAAAACAAAAGUUCCAAACUUGAAUGGGCUUUCUGCAACUUUGAUUCCAGGAAGCAAAGAAAACAAAUCACCUUUUAAAAUCCCAUGUACUUAUUUAUUUGCUUUCAGGUUCAUCUGCAAGCUCAAGAAUGGGAAGAGUAAUCUGGCACUUCUCUGUCCAUGAAAUUUUGCUUUGAAUGAGUGUUGGGUGGUAAGGUGAAUUUCAUGAAUGGAAAUUAAAGAAAGAUGGAUUGUUGCAUGUGGUUUCAGGGUAUUGUUGUUGCAGACCAGAAUCUAGAGAGAGAGAGAGAGAGAGAGAGAGAGAGGGCAUUUAAUACCAUGAAACUGCAGCUUCUGAAUAUGGCCUUAGGUGCAGGUGAAGACAAUAAAUGAGAAGUUAAUGCAAUUUCAUUUUUUCAUGCCUGCAUUGAAGCACACUUGGCUACCCUUCUGAUUUUUUAUUUUUACUUUGGUGAAGAUGCAUCCAAAUUUUUUUCCAAUUUAAAUCUUGUUUCCCCUACUUGAUCAGAUCAAAAUGCAUCGCACUUUCUCAUGGUUUUUAAUGUUUUUGUUUGCUUUUGCAUGCAUGACGUCCAUAUUUUGAAUAUUUUGAAUAAGAUUUACGUGUUUUUUUUAUGUGAACAAAUUUCAUUUCUUUGCAUUUUUAUUGGUUUUUUACCCCUUAAAAAUAAGGUUUCACCUUGCUAUAUUCUCAUUUAUUUUUAUUUUGAAUAAACGAUAUUAUUUACAUUAAAAAGAAAGAGAGUAUGUUUAGUCUUAUAAUGAGUUGUUUUAUUCGUUUUUGGGUCAUGUUAGACAUAAUUUGCAUUCUUAACCAGAGUUGAUAAAAACGAGAUAUUUUACAUCAACCGGUGAAAAAAUCCCAACACAAACAAAAAGAUUAAAUAAAAUGCAUUUUAAUUAACAAAUACUUCAUUACUUCAUUUGCAAAGUAUUUAAUUAGAAUGUUGACUUUGUUGUUAAAAUAAUAUUUGAGAGAGAGAACAGAGAGAGGGACAGCUAGAGAGGAUGAAAGAAGGGGCUUAAGUGUUUUUGAAAUUGUUAUUUCUCUUUGCUUUUGUGCCUUUAUUUUUACUAAUGAGGGUAGAUUUUACUUCCUCUAAGUAAUACAAAUUAUAAAAAAAAAAAUUAUAUUUUAGAUCAUAUAAGAUUCUUAUUCCUAGUUUACACAAUCAUACUAAACAUAAAAAACUAUUUACAACACAAAUUAUAUAUACAUAUAUAGUCAAACAACUUUAAACAAAUAAAAUAUAAUAUAACAACUUAACAUAUCACUAACGUUAGCCCACCCUUAUCAACACAACUCGUUAAGCCUUAACUCAAACAAUGACUUUUUGUGCAUGUUCCAGUCAUGUCAUGGGUCGCCACUUAAUACUAUUAAAGAUGAAUUUGAACCAUAUUAUUGCUAAUUUAUUGUGCUCCUCCCAUUAAUGUAGAUAAUAUCGUUUGCUCAAGAAAAAAAAGUUUAUGUUAUGAAUCAUGCACAAUUAUAUAUACAUAUAGUCAAAUAGCUUAAACCAAACAAAAUAUAAUAUAGCAAUUUAACAUAUCACCAAUGAGCCCACCCUUAUCAACACAACUUGUUAAGCCUCAACUCGAACAAUGAAUUUUUCGUGCAUGUUCGAAGUCAUGUUAUGGGUCAUGCACAAUUUUGCUAGGUCUAGUCUCACGACUCAUCAACCAAUAUGUCCCAAAGUUUCUCCACAAAAAGUGUAUGGCAAGGUAAGUUAUUAAGAGGCGUUUUGAUAUAUUCGUCUUGUUUUUAAACUUGUUAGACCAAACAUAUAUAUAUUUGUCUUUUAACGAUUUAAUUAUACAUCCUUCUACGGUUUUGGAGUCACUCUUAAUUAAGCCAUUUUAUUGUACCUAAAUUACAAGACCUAUCAUAAUUUACAUAAAAAAUAGGAUUUGGAUUCCAUCCGGAACCAAGUUGUGGGGAUUCUAGGGGCCCUCACAUCCUAACCGUUUAUUGUAUAUCAUGCAGUCAUAAAUCAUUUUAAAUUUAUUUAUUUAAAAUUAAACACAAAUAGUAUCAAACGAAAACUGACUGCAUGAUAUACAAUAAACAGUCAUGAUGUGAGGAUCCCUAAGAUCCCCACAAAGAAGAUCCGGAGAGGAUCCCCAUCCAAAAAAAUAAACAAGGAAAAAAUGAAAGAAAAAUGGUUCCUACAUUCUUGCUAACUAAUGCCUCUUAGUUUGACGUUCAGCUCGUAGAGCCAAAGCUAGGGAUGCGUGGCACCUCGAUUUCACAUAAAUAAAAGCUCUUCGGAGCCGGUGAUGCUUGAUAAAAAGUCUCAUCUCUCCCCUUUGAGAAACCAUGGGACUAUGUGAUCUUGACACCGUCAACGUUGCUAUUGAAGUUCCAAGUAAUUCUUUUUAUGUUCACAUAUUGUAGGUUUGUUAAUUUUUCUUUUAGCUUCACAUUCCGCCGAUAGCUACUCAUAUCGAUUAUCACAGUUGAAAAAUUCUUGGAUUAGUUUCAUGUAUAUUUUAGUUUUUUUGAUUGGGUAAAUUUGGCCUCGAUAAGUAGUUUGCUUGAAAUUUGAUCUUUUUACAUGAAGCGGAUUUAUUGUCAUGGAACGUCCUUUAUCUAAUAAUACAUUGUCAUGUGUAAGUUUUUCACCACAUUGCAAUAUAUUAUUUGAUCGGGACGCCACGCAACGGUGAGUCCAUUUCAUGGUAGUUGUCCUCCAAAACAAGAUACCCCUUUUUUUUGAUAAACCUCGUAGGCUCAAGCAUGGUCAACUACCAACAUCACCGAUGUGUCUCAACUUAACCACCUAUUACAAGGUGUUGGGUUUUAUCACAAAAAGUCUCGGUGAUGUUAAGGGUGGAAACUCUCAUAGAUUAAUUGUAUAUUAUUUUGUCAUAUGACCGAUGUGAGAUCCUAUUCUCCAACGUCCCCUCAUGAGUGCCCCCAUAUGAGGUCACAAGAGAAACCAAUUCCCACCUGGGGAACCGAUCAAGUCAUUAUACCGGAACUAACAACAAUCAUUUCGACAUCCCGAUUGGUUGGUAUUCAGUCUCUGAGCCAAUGCCAAUCUUUUCGAAGGCCCAAUCAUUCAAUUGCCUUAAGUUGGAACUAGCGCAUCCUAUCAACUUUAGGAAGCAUGUUCAAGCCCCGUAACUUAGGCCUAGGACGUGUCAAGAGAAUAGUUUGCUAUGAUACUAUGAUAAACUUUAUAGGCUCAUGCACUUCCACCACCAAUAUUGUUCCAACUUAACUACUUAUUAUUAGGUGUUGGGUUUAUCACAAAAGAUCACGGUGAUACUAAGGGUGAAAACUCACAUAUAUUAAUUUAUAUAUUUUAUCACAUGACCAAUGUAAGGAUCCUAUUCUCUAACACUUUUUUUCGGUGACUCCGAUGAAUCCAAUCAUGCUCUCAUCUGUCUCUCUCUUGUAUCUUUAAGAACUUGGAUCAAAUCAAUCAAGAAACCGAGACGGUUGUGAAUUGGUGUUGAUGGAAGAAUUGUGCGGAGCCAUGUUCGAUGCCGACCAUUUGAAGGACACUAUUCGCAGCAGUUCAGUGGGAGAAAACCUAGUGCUUCAUUCAAACUAAAGGAUAUGAACAAUUUCUAGCGCUGGGAAAAUCUGAAAACUAACUGCAGAAUUAAGAAUUUUGCAAUCUUUGCAUUAGUAGAUCAUUCGUAGGGUUCAACUCCAACUCUUUUUAAACUUCUAGAGUGCUUCUGUAAUUACCAAGGAUUAGGCUAAUGCUUACCGAAUUAAUUUUCAUGUCAACUUAUUUCCCAACCAAUACAAUUAACACUGUAGUGUUACUUUAACUUCUACGUUACAGUUAUUGUUUUUAGUGCUCAUUUGAAAGUGUUUUUAAAAUAACUGAAGGUACUCUUAAAAAAAAUGUUUUUGAGUUUCAAAAGCACUAAAAAUGCUUCAUGCAAUAAGCACCAGUUAUGUGCUCUGUUGCUUCUUGUAUGAUGCACUUUAAAUGCUUUUCCAUGAUUCACUUGCAUUUUAUUAAAAAUAUAUUAGUUAAAAAAACAUUUUUACAGAAAUAGCUUUCAACCAUUUUAAAUGUAGUUCGAAAUGAACUCUUAAUGUAUUUCAGCAUAUUGUGUUUCUCAGUAUUUGAUUUAAUCAAGUUAACUAAAGUGGUGUGAUUAUCAUGGAUGGCUACCAAAGAGCCAACAAACUCAUGGACCAUCCCAUCCCUUAUUGUCUUCCAUCUUCAUUCAUUCCUCCAAACAAAACGGCACUCCACCAACAUCACAAAUGCAAUGACUCCAAUUUCAUACUCUUCUAGUAACGACAUUAAUUAAGUUUUUACAAUCGAUAUCCUUAUUUUAAAUUAUACUACAGAGAAUGAGAAAAUUUGAAUUUAAAAAACAAAAAAGCGAAUAAAAAUGUUAUAUCCAUCAAAGCGAUCCAUCACUUAUGACGGUGAUUUAAGUUGAUAACCUAAAAGUAGUGGGGACCAACCUCAUUUCAACACCUUAAUGGAGAGCCCAUAUUACUGACCUACAAAUUUAUUAAUAAAUAUCUUUGUUCCAUUAAACUUUGCUUUCAUAGAUUGUUGUGAAUGCCAUGCUCAAUGACUUUUAUAUUUCAUCCCAAGAUUUGUAAGCAUAAGUUAGUGAAUAAUUGACAACAUUUCGUCCUGAUUUACAUAUUACGUGUUCCCAAUGCCAAAUUAAACAUAAUUUGACUCGUUUCAUGCUAGAAACUUCUUAUGUUAUCGAAAAUUGUUCCCUCACACGACCACAACAAAGCACAAAACACAAUCGGGUAGCAAAGGGACGACGACUAGGAGCCCGAAUUAUUGAGAAACUUUUCAGUUAUUUUAGGUGGAUAAUCAAGCAUUCGACGUCUAUGUUCAAGGUCUGCAGGAAGAUUAGCUAAUAUUUCAUCCAACUCAGUGACCUCACUUUGUUGUGAACUAUGAGGACUUCUUGGAAUAUUUGAAGGAGGAGAAGGAUUACUUGGAAUAUUUGUAGGAGAAGGACUACCCGAAAUGUUUGAAGAAAGAUUUAAGCAUUGUUUCUUAUAAUAUCAUUCCAUUACGUAACUAUAAAAUGGAAAGAAAAAUAAAAAUUUUAGACUCUUAAUCCUAGAGUAGACUAUCCGAAUAUGCAUAAUAACUAAUCCAACCAACAAUUCAAUUAAUCAAUAGCAAUAAGGAUACAAAUUAUUCAAUAAAUAAAUAUUCAAACAUAUGAAUAAUUGUAUACAUUAUGUAAUAAUUCAAUUAAUUAAUCAAUAAUCAAGAAUUCAAAUUUUAAUUUUCACCCUAAAAAAUAAUUUCAUAUCAAUAAUCAAUAAUCAAUAACCAAUAACCAAUAACCAUAUGGGUGUGCUAUCUACACACCCAUUUUUACUUCUCACAUACCCUUGUUAAUUUCUGUCCGUUGAUCUUCUUUAAUUCAUCCAAUUCGACGGUAGAAAACUAAAAAGGUGUGGGAGAAGUAAAAAAGGGUGUGUGGAUAUCACACCCCUAACUAUAUUAGUGCAUUACCAUAUGAUUCUAUACUAAUUAAACAAAAUUCAUGUUAAAUAAUUAAUUAUGGUUAGGGAUUAUAAAUUAGGAUAACUAAUAAAAAAUACUUGAAAUUUUUGAGUUUUAACUAUAAGGAUAAAAUAAAGGGUAAAGUGAAUAGUAUCAGAUUUGACAUUUUAAUGUAAAAAUGUGAUUUUUGUUGAAAUAAACAGUAUCGAGAAUUUUUUGUUAAAAUUCUUUUAUAAAUAAAUUUAAGGAUUAAAAAAUUUACUUUUGAAGGCUGAAAACCAACGGCUUAGCGGCUGGAGAGUGGCUGGUGGCGACCGCAAAAAGCCAACGGAAACAAGAAUUAAAAAAUUUUCCGUCUGGGAUUUUGGGGGCAGAGCAGCUUUGCUCUCUGUCUCUGAUUGGAUGGGAUGGGAAAGAUUGAAAAAGAAAAGGGGCACUGACACGGGACUGAAAAAGAAAAGUGAGAGGGAAUGGAUGACACGCGGUCUCUUUAUAUAUAUAUUAUAUAUAUAUAUAUAUAUAUAUAUAUAUAUAUAUUGUUUUCCAAACAUACGCCCGUUUGUUUUAGUUUUUUUAUUUAUUUAUUUUACCAGGACCAAAACGAUGUUGUUUUGGUCUGAAUGUUUUUUUAGAAACAAAGCAAUCUGCUGCUGCGCGCAGCAGAAACAGAGCGAUGGAGGAUUGGCUGAAAGCCUGAACCAGUCUGGUUUUCCGACGAGGGGAGGAGCUGAACUAGAAUUCCAGUCGUUUUUUCCGGCGAGGGGAGUGGCGGCCGCCACUCCUCGCCCUCACAUGGCUUCACCAUUGAGUACAACUCAUUGCACAAAGUAUUAUAACACAAUUGAUUGAAUACAUUUUUUUAAAUUUUUUAACAAACUGUAUUAUUACACUUAAUACAUCAGGCCGUGUUCUAUGCACACUAAACAAUUUCUUCAAAUUAUGGACAGCAAAUCACAUGCAUGUUUAAUCAAAGUUUAUGCAAGUCUCGAUAUAGCAGUGGGCCCUAAAGCAGUAUAUUUGUGAGUUGUGAUUUCUAAUUUGAUUUUCUUUACAAUGAGUUUUGUAAAUAUUAAAUAAGUUUAAAGUUGGAAGGACUUCCAGUUGAACUCUGAGUUUACUGUUACCCAACAUGUGCACUCUUAUUUUUAUUUUAUUUUGAAUACUUUAAAAAUUUUAUUGUACAAAGAAAUGUUAAGACGCACUCUAAUCUUUUAGAGUAAAACUCAAAAUUUAGCUAUCUAAACCAAUCCUAGCUCACUCCAAUUCUUGGGUCAAAAUUGAGUUUUGGACAAAUUCUGGCCAGGAUUUGAGUUUGGGUUAGACCUAGUUUGGGAGUGAGGUGCUUAAAAAAAAAGCACAUAUGAAAAAAAGCUGUGAGGGUUUUAGGUGUUUGGUAAACUGAAAAAAAAGGGCUUAUUUUGGAAGCUGCUGUGAGAAUAAGCUGAAAUCAAAGGAAAAAGCUGAAGCUGCUAUUUGUAGCUUUGGAAAACUGGCUUUUUUUCAAAGCACACGGAGCUACAGUGCUCCUUUAAUGAAAAGACCCACUAUCAGACUACUUUUUUUUCCAAAAGCUUUUUUACAAAAAAGUUUACCAAACGCUCUGCUGAUUUAUUUUACAGCCGCUUAUUCUCACAGCACAGCCGCUUAUUCUCACAGCAGCUUUUUUUUCAAAGCACAGCAAUACCAAACCAGCCCUUAGUGGGUUGGCUCACUCUUGGGUGCGGACAUGCCUAGCAGAGGAGCAUUGCACAUCGCAAGAUGCGCAAAGCGCUGACAGCGUAGGGGUCCCAGACUCCCAUGCACGUGGGUCUGUCGGCCAAAUGAAGUUAACUGCUUAGAGCAUCUCCAAAUGAGAUGUCAAAAUAUCCAAAUCAAUAAUAACGGUAACAAAAGACAUCAUUAAUUUUUCCAACUGAGAAGCCAAAUAUGAUGUGGCAUGACAUAAAAUGACAUCUUUUCCUCUUGUUGUCAAAUUUGACAGCACCUUCAGAUUUUUUAAUUAAUUAUUAAAUGCUUUUUAUUAAUUUUUUUAUUGGUUUAAAGCUUUAUCCUUUAGUUUCUUUUCAUUCCCAAUGCAAAUAAAAUACAUAUGAAUUCAAAAUUUGGCAUAUCGGUUUGAGAGCAAAACUUUAUAGAUGUUAAAGUACCAUGUAAGCCUUCAAAUUUAAAUUAUAGGUUUAAAUUUUGACAUCUCCUUUGGAGAUGGUCUUAUUGUGGUUUCGAUUGGGCAAGUUGUCCAUUUACUCGCUGCUCGACAGAAAACGGUCUUGCUAUCCUCUGUUGAAGUAGAAUAUAAGACUGGCUGGUACUUGUUGUGAGGUAAUUUGGUUACGUUUUCUACUGGAGAAUUGGUGCAUUCCUUUAACUGGACCAUCUUUUUUACUUUGUGAUACUCAAGUGAUAUUGCAUGUAGUGGCCAAUCCUUUUUUCCAUGAGCGAAAUCAUCAUAUUGAAAUGAAUUGUCAUUUUAUAAGUGAUUUUUGAUAGUAUGUUAGCUACUAGACAUGAUGGUACGACACAGCAACUAAUAGACUUGUUUACGAAGCUGCUCGAAAAGGAGAAGUUUCAACCAUGUUACGUACGUUGGGAGUUCUUGACAUCUACUCUCCAACUUGGGGUCCCAUUAGACAAAUAUAGCAAAUUAGUUAGAAUUAAAUUAUAAUUAUAAUUGUAAUUGUACUCAUGGCAGGAAUUCUUGUUGUAUAAUUGUAUAUAUUGUAUUCCAUAUCAAUGAAAAUAUUAUUCAAGCCAAACAUAUUUUUCCACAUUAUUCCUAGCACCCCCUACAUCUUAGAGCAAGUCCACCGGGGUUGGGAUAGGCCGGCACCCAGUGGAAAGUUCCCCCGUUUUUAUGCAUUGACCUAUUACUGUUCAUUGGAGUCUAUUACUGUUCACUGGAGUGGAUAAAUGGGCUGGGUGGUGGCACAAAGUCCUUAGGGAUAGACUUGCUCUUAGGGUCACGUGUGGAUCCUAGAUGAAUCUCGGAAUUGAGGUGUGACAAGUUUGAUGUUCACCUUCUAUAUGUUUUCCAUUCCGGAAAGUUUCUUCAUUAGAUUCCAAAUUAUCAUAACAAAAACUGUUCUUCUCAACUGAACUGUUUAAUCGUGAGCAUCUGCAAGGUAGGACAACGUACAGAAACUGACAGUAGCAUUUUUGAAUUAACAAGAACUUCUAGUUUGAAGAGGGAUUACUCCGGACUAUCCCUCCCAUAUCAUGAUAUUCAAUUAUUCAUAGAGAAAAAGACAUGAACAUAUGGCAGAACAAAGCCAAAUAUGCAGUAAUAAUGGAAGUCCAUUCAAAUUGUUCCUCACUGUCGGAAAAAUUUGCAGUAAACCAGCAGAAGGCAUUGAAGAAAUUACAAAUUCUCCCAAUAUCAAAACAGGUGAACUUAUACGGUGGGCUGGAAAAACACAAAAAUAAAUCAAAUUAGUUUUUGGAUGGUCUUUGAGCUGCGUUGGCCAGGGAUUUCCAUUGCCUAGCUAGAGGUCGAGGGUGAUACUAAGAUCCUUAUUGAUGCGAUCAAUGAGACUAUCUCCCACCCCUGGUAUCUCUUGACACUGGUGUACAAUAUUUAAAAAAUAGCUUGCAGGUAUCUGCAGGAUACCUAUUUUCACCUAUUUUCGUCACUUGUUGUCGUGAAACACAUUUUGUGGCAAAUGCUCUAGCUUGUGUUGGUCAAUCUUCGUUGUUUUUGGUGACCAAAUUUCCUUGUGAGGUGCGUUCCACUUGACUUUUGAGAUUUUUGUAGUUUAGCUUGACCUAGAGGAUUAUCUUUAUAAUUGUUUCUUUCCUGUUAAAAAAGGAGAUUUUAUUUAAAUAUCACUUUUAUUUGAAUCCAUUGAUUUUAUUAUUACAACCAAUAUUACUACUCUAAACUACCUUAAUGGAGGGGACGGGUUCAAACCCGAGUAGGAGAGAAAGUACUUAUCCAUCAAGGCAAUUCUGAACUUUUCAGAUCGAGCAUGGUCCACCACUAACAUUACCAUAUUAUUCCAACUUAAUCACCUAUGCAAGGCCUCUGCGAUACUAGAGGUGGAAACUCCCCAUAUAUUAAUUGUAUAUUAUUGUCAUAUGCCAAAGUAAAGAUAAGACUUCGUACGAUAGAUAUUCCUCCUUCCCUCAACCCUCGCAAAAUGAGGAGUUUUGUUCGCUUGGCCUUUUUAUAUGACCGAUUUGAAAACCUAUCCUCCAACAAAACCACACUUGCGAGUUCACUCGCUAUUAACUUCAAACAAAAUUAAACUAAAACAAAGCAACUGAACCAAACCAAUAACCAAAACAAACAACAGAGAAAAAAAAAAACUAGAGCUAGUCACCAUGUCUUAACUAUCCAAUAAGCGUCUUGAGUGAGGUUUCCGGUGAAUAUUGGCUUCCGUGGCCGAAGAAAGUGAUGGCGAUUCCUCAGGAGACUCUUCAUGAUUUGGACCAGAAGGCACAAGCCUCAUAAGAUCAUAAUUUGCACCUGAAGAUGGUGGUGGCGGUGUAUAUACCUUCGAAGGUGGUUCUUCAGGAGACUCUUCAUGGUUUGGACCAGAAGGCACAAGCCUCAUAAGGUCACAUACUUCGCAGGAUCAUCCAACACUUCUGCAGGCGGCAGUUGGACGACGCCAUGUUUAUAAUCUGGACCCCUAAGAACCUGUCUCUUGAUCAAAUACCUCAAGAGUCGAUGUUGCUCAGCAAAUUUGGUUGACUGUUUGUUUGGGGAUCCUUGAUCACCAAAACAAGAAGAAAAUAGAAAGAGAAGGCAAGCAACAAACAAGUGGGUCUUAGAAAACUCCAUAUUUGAUUGUUUGAUUGACAGUAUGUUUUGAACCGGAAAAUACGCUUUUUUAUAGGAUUUUUGGACGAAUUCUGACAGAAUAUCACAGUAAAAUCUUGUGUAUUGGGCACGAUGAUCUAAAUUACCGUUUUAAGAAUAAUUGGUCGAGAUUUUCUACCACAAAUACAUUGAUUUUUUUUUUUCAAUUAUAGUACAAGGAAAACAUACCAUUUUAAUUGUUAAUUCAAUGAUAAGUAAUUUGGUUGUAAUUGGUGUUUAUUCAAAAGGAUUAAGUUGUGAUAUUUUAUAUUAAUACGAUAGUGAAACUUAGGUGACCAUAAAUUGAAAUAAUUUAAUGACAAAUUACAGACCGUAUUUCACAUGACAUAUUCUGGGUUCGAUUCCUGGCAUUGGUGGAUCGCACGACGUUGGCCAUGUAAGGCUGAAAUGCCUAUGUGAGUCUUUCCGGCCUCCGAAAGAUUGGAUUGUGGUGGUGAAACCACUAGCUCGUCCCCUUUUAAUAAGAUGGAUAACAGGUCUCAAACCCUCAACUGCAACAAGCCACACGCUUUAAUAUAUCAUUUUCAAUCUCAUCAUACCAGCAUAUAAAGAUACACAUUAGGCCAAGCUUAUUAAUAUUGCUAAAAACUCAUAAAAAAACGAUAUAAGUGUUGCAUCAGUAAAUACAUUUUGCUUCGUGUGUGUGUGUAUAUAUUAAGAGAUGGGAGGGUUUAAACCUGAGUUGAAGAACAAAUCUUUAUUCAUUUGCAAGUUCACUUGCUAUUAACUCCAAAAAAAAAAAAUUAAAAACAUUUCAAUUAUGCAAAAAGACCAAAGUGAAUAUAUUACUUGAAAACUGAUCAUAGCUUUCCUCUCUACACCCACCAUAAACCCUAAACUAAACUCAUAAAUGAACGCUAUCACCAAAGCCACAAAAAUUUGGUUUUCUUCGUCACGUAAACCCUAGACCAGCAAAACAAGACGUACGGCAAUCGCCACUUGUUUACGUCCAAAGUAAAUCUAUAUUUUUUUAUAUAUAGAAAACUUCAUUUUAAUUCUUAAUAAAAAAAGAUGAGUUUUUUUACUAUAACCUUGUGUAAGAUUAAAAUUUAAUUUUAGUCUCUGAUACAUUUAAGGAAGACUUUGGAUGUGGUUCUUAGUUAUGAAUAUUCUUUGAUUGAAACCUUGUUGAUUUUUAAUUUUUGAUUGAAGUUCCUGAAAUUAAUGUGAUAAUUUAUUUCUAUGUACAUUACUAUAUUUUUUAAAUUAAAAAUUAGAAAUUUUAGUUGUUUAUAUAAAUGAGAUUUUAAAUAAAAAACCAUAAUUUGUGGGAUUAAAAAUAUUAACAUAUAAAUAUACUAUUGUGUGUGUGUGUACGUGUGUGUGUGUGUAAACAUGGGUACAUUCAUCAAAAUUAACCAAAAAAAUUAAGGAAAACUAACGAAAAGUUCAAAAAAACUUCUGUUUUAACGAAAAGCCCUUUUUAAAGGUAUAGUAAAUAGUGCCAGUUAAAGGUAAAAAUAUGGUUUUUCGUUAAAAAGUGAACAAUACCGGGAGUGUUUUGUUAAAACUCCCAAAAAAUUAUUGUAUCAAAACAUGAGUACAUUCUUCAAAAUCACAAAAAAAAAAAAAAAGAUAUUAGGCUUAAUAACAUUAAUAAAUUUCUUCGAUUAAACUUGAUAUGAAUACAUUUUAAAAUCAAAGAAAAAAGAAUGUACCCAUAUAAGUUUAAAAAUGGAAUAGAAAAAAAUUGAAUAGAUUUUAUAUAUAAAAAAAGGUAUAUUUUACAUAUAACAAAUUGGUAUAUUUAAGAAUGAGUACAUUUUAAGAUUAAAAUUUUUUACAUGAAUGGGUACAUAUAAUUAGCAUGGGUACAUUUAGCAAAAUAAAAAGUACAAAUAAAAAAAAAAUAUGGGUACAAAUACAAAGUAACUUUAAAAAAUAUGGGCACAAAAAGCAAUGAAUAUAUGGGGACAAAUUAAAAUUGAAAAGAAAAUUGGUACAAAUUAAAAAAAAUUACAAAUUAAAAAUGGGUACAAACUAAAACUAAAAAUAUAUGAUAAAAAAUUUAGUCAUAAAUAUAAAUAUACUAAUUGUAACAUUUUUAACAUUAAAUGAAUAUAUUUAGAAAUAAAAAAUAUAUAUUAUUAUUAAAAUAAUUAAUGAUGUUAUUAAUACCCAAGGACCUUGAUAAAAAUUUGAAAAUGAAUAGGAUUUUAAUCAAUGGAGUAGUAAAAGGAAGGAUGAUAACCUAAUUUCUUCUACAUUUAAUCAUCUCAUUUAUUAAUUAUAUUUUGAUGUUUUAUUUCUUUCUUUUUUCCUAUUUUUAAUGUAUUAAGUACAAUUAAUUUUUAUUUUCAUUUCAUUCAUCAUAAUAUAUUUUGAUAUCUACAUUUAGGUAAACUAAUAUUUUUUUUAUAGGGAGCUGUAAUGAAAAAGGCUUGGACUAACUUUAAUUUAACCAAAAACCAACCUAAACUAUUAUUUAACCAAAAUGGCUUAAAAUUUAAUCCUAAGGACAAACUAUUCAUAUAAUAGGCCCUAUAAACAUAAAAGCUCACGGGCUGUGUAACAUCCCACAUUGCCCAGGGGAGUGAUCCUUAAAUGUAUAUUCUCAUCCUUACCUAUCCUUACCUAGCAUGAGGCCUUUUGGGAGCUCACUGGCUUCGGGUUCCAUCGGAACUCCGAAGUUAAGCAAGUAGCACGUGAGAGCACUCCCAUGAUGGGUGACCCACUGGGAAGUUGCUCGUGAGUUCCCAAAAACAAAACCGUGAGGGAAUGGUAAGCCCAAAGCGGACAAUAUCGUGUUAUGGUAGUGGAGCAGGCCCGGGAAGUGAUCCGCCCCGGGCCGGGAUGUGACAAAUUGGUAUCAGAGCCUAACCCUGGCCGCGAGUGUGCUGACGAGGACGUCAGGCCCCUAAGGGGGGUGGAUUGUAACAUCCCACAUUGCCCAGGGGAGUGAUCCUUAAAUGUAUAUUCUCAUCCCUACUUAGCACGAGGCCUUUUGGGAGCUCACUGGCUUCGGGUUCCAUCGGAACUCCGAAGUUAAGCGAGUAGCACGCGAGAGCACUCCCAUGAUGGGUGACCCACUGGGAAGUUGCUCGUGAGUUCCCAAAAACAAAACCGUGAGGGAAUGGUAAGCCCAAAGCGGACAAUAUCGUGUUAUGGUAGUGGAGCAGGCCCGGGAAGUGAUCCGCCCCGGGCCGGGAUGUGACAAAUUGGUAUCAGAGCCUAACCCUGGCCGCGAGUGUGCUGACGAGGACGUCAGGCCCCUAAGGGGGGUGGAUUGUAACAUCCCACAUUGCCCAGGGGAGUGAUCCUUAAAUGUAUAUUCUCAUCCCUACUUAGCACGAGGCCUUUUGGGAGCUCACUGGCUUUGGGUUCCAUCGGAACUCCGAAGUUAAGCGAGUAGCACGCGAGAGCACUUCCAUGAUGGGUGACCCACUGGGAAGUUGCUCGUGAGUUCCCAAAAACAAAACCGUGAGGGAAUGGUAAGCCCAAAGCGGACAAUAUCGUGCUACGGUAGUGGAGCGGGCCCGGGAAGUGGUCCGCCCCGGGUCGGGAUGUGACAGGCUGAGCUAAAAGCCCAACACAAUAAAUAUUUUUUUUCCAAACUUGCCCUUAACGGAAAGCCUAUUACCUUUUUUUAUGAUGGAGAAAGCAUGUUACCUUAUUAAAUAUGAAGGACUACCAGACAUGUUGGUAUACGACACAACAACUAAUAGACUUAUUUACUUUGUGAUAGUCAAGUGACAUUGCAUGUAGUGGCCAAUCCUUUUUUCCAUGAGCGAAAUCAUCAUAUUGAAAUGAAUUGUCAUUUUAUACGUGAUAUGAUUGUUGAUAGCACGUUAGCAACUAGACAUGUUGGUAUACGACACAACAGCUAAUAGACUUGUUUACGAAGCCACUCGAAAAGGAGAAGCUUUCAAUCAUGUUACGCAAAUUGGGAGUUCUUGACAUUCACUCUCCAACUUGGGGUAUUGAGGGGUACUAUUAGACAAAUAUAGCAAAUUAGUUAGAAUUAAAUUAUAAUUAUAAUUGUAAUUGUACUCCUAGCAGGAAUUCUUGUUGUAUAAGGAAUGUAAUUGUAUUAACGGCGGAGCUAGCAACAAGGCUAGGGUGGGCUCUAGCAUAGGGAGAUUUUUAGUUGUUUAAGGUUAAAAAUACUGAUAAUUUAGAUUAUUUUAUUAUUUUUAAUUGUUAUAGCUCAUCCAAUAAGUAAAAGUUCUAAACAAUAGGACUACUUUUAGAAAAAAGUAAGAGUUAAUAAAUAUUAAAUAAAUUAUUUACUUUAAUCAAUAUCAAAAUUUAUUAUUAUUAUUAUAAUUCAAAUCUUACACACACACCCUAACACACGUCCCAUUAAGUCUAUUUAUUUGAUUAGUUUUUAGGGAGUAGUAUAGAGAUUUGUUUAGGUUUCUUAGGAGUAAGUAGUCAUCUUAUCCGGUUUUAAAAAGUAAAUUUAAUAUUUUAUUAAUUUAGGGAGUAGACUAGUUUAUUAUUUUAUUUCGACUUUUGGGUACAACCCAAUGACCCUUUUUCAGUUUCAGAAAAGCCUUUGUCUCGUCUUGACGUCUUCUCUGCACUGCAGUUUACAGAAACCGAGCAUACAAUACAAGUGACAAAUAUGCAGUAAUGGAAGUCCAUUCAAUUUGUUCCUCACUGUCGGAAAUAUUUGCAGUAAACCAGCAGAAGGCAUUGAAGAAAUUACAAAUUCUCCCAAUAACAAAACAGGUGAACUUAUAUGGUGGGCUGGAAAAACACAAAAAUAAAUCAAAUUAGUUUUUGGAUGGUCUUCGAGCUGCGUUGGCCAGGGAUUUCCUAGCUAGAGGUCGAGGGUGAUACUAAGAUCCUUCUUGAUUCGAUCAAUGAGACUAGAAUCCUUCUUGAUUCGAUCAAUGAGACUAGUAUCCUUCUUGAUUCGAUCAAUGAGUCUAUCUCCCACCCCUGGCAUCUCUUGACACUGGUGUACAAUAUUUAAAAAAUAGCUUGCAGAUAUCUGCAGGAUACCUAUUUUCACCUAUUUUCGUCACUUUUUGUCGUGAAACACAUUGUGUGGCAAAUGCUCUUGCUAGUGUUGGUCAAUCUUCGUUGUUUUUGGUGACUAAAUUUCCUUGUGAGGCGCGUUCCACUUGACUUUUGAGAUUUUUGUAGUUUAGCUUGACCUAGAGGAUUAUCUUUAUACUUGUUUUUUUCCUGUAAAAACAAGAGAUUUUAUUUAAACAUCACUUUUAUUUGAAUCCUUUGCUUGUAUUAUUCCAACCAAUAUUACUACUCUAAACUACCUUAAGGGAGGGGACGGGUUCAAACCCGAGUAGGAGAGAAAGUACUUAUUCAUCAAGGCAAUUCUGAAUUUUUCAGGUCGAGUAUCUGGUCUACCACCAACAUUACAAAUAUUAUCCCAACUUAACCACCUAUGCAAGGUGUUAGGUUUUGUUGCAAAAGACCUCUGUGAUACUAGAGGUGGAAACUCCCCAUACAUUAAUUGUAUAUUAUUUGUCAUAUGUCCAAAUAAAGAUGAGGCUGCGUACGAUAGAUAUUCCCCCUCCUCUCGACUCUCGCAAAGUGGGGAAUUUUGUUAGCUUGGCUUUUUUAUAUGACCGAUUUGAAAACCUAUCCUCCAACAAAACCACCACUUGCGAGUUCACUCGCUAUUAACUUCAAACAAAAUUAAACCAAAACAAAGCAACUGAACCAAACCAAUAACCAAAACAAACAACUGAGAAAAAAACCUAGAGCUAGUCUCCAUAUCUUAACUAUCCAAUAAGCGUCUUGAGUGAGGUUUCCGGUGAAUAUUGGCUUCCGUGGCCGAAGAAAGUGAUGGCGAUUCCUCAGGAGACUCUUCAUGAUUUGGACUAGAAGGCACAAGCCUCAUAAGAUCAUAGUUUGCACCUGAAGAUGGUGGUGGCGGAGUAUAUACCUUCGAAGGUGGUUCUUCAGGAGACUCUUCAUGGUUUGGACCAGAAGGCACAAGCCUCAUAAGAUCAUAAUUCGCAGGAUCAUCCAACACUUCUGCAGGCGGCAGUUGGACGACGCCAUGUUUAGAAUCUGGACCCCUAAGAACCUGCCUCUGGAUCCAAUACCUCAAGAGUCGAUGUUGCUCAGCAAAUUUGGUGGACUGUUUGUUUGGGGAUCCUUGAUCACCAAAACAAGAAGAAAAUAGAAAGAGAAGGCAAGUAACAAACAAGUGAGUCUUAGAAAACUCCAUAUUUGAUUGUUUGAUUGACAGUAUGUUUUGAACCGGAAAAUACGCUUUCUUAUAGGAUUUCUUGGACGAAUUCUGACAGAAUAUCACAGUAAAAUCUUGUGUAAUAUUGGGCACGAUAAUCUAAAUUACCGUUUUAAGAAUAAUUGGUCGAGAUUUUCUACCACAAAUACAUUGAAUUUUCUUUCAAUUAUAUUACAAGGAAAAUAUACCAUUUUAAUUGUUAAUUCAAUGAUAAGUAAUUUGGUUGUAAUUCGGUGUUUAUUCAAAAGGAUUAAGCUGUGAUAUUUUAUAUUAAUACGAUAGUGAAACUUGGGUGACCAUAAAUUGAAAUAAUAUAAUGACAAAUUACAGAUCGUGUUUCACAUGGCAUAUUCUGGGUUCGAUUCCUAGCACUGGUGGAUAACACGACGUUGGCCAGGUGAGGCUGAAAUGCCUAUGUGAGUAUUCCUGGUCCCUAAAAGAUUGGAUUGUCGUGGUGAAACCACAAGCUCGUCCCCUUUUAAUAAGAUGGAUAACAGGUCUCAAACCCUCAAAUGCAACAAGCCACACGCUUUAAUAUAUCAUUUUCAAUCUCAUCAUACCAGCAUAUAAAGAUACACAUUUGUCCAUGAAGACGUAAUUGUUCUUCCCUAAAAAGAUACCAGCAUAUAAAGAUACACAUUAGGCCAAGCUUAUUAAUAUUGCUAAAAACUCAUAAAAAAACGAUAUAAGUGUUGCAUCAGUAAAUACAUUUUGCUUCGUGUGUGUGUGUAUAUAUUAAGAGAGGGGAGGGUUUAAACCCGAGUUGAAGAACAAAUCCUUAUUCAUUAAGGCAAUCCAUCACUUGCAAGUUCACUUGCUAUUAACUCCAAAAAAAAUUAAAAACAUUUCAAUUAUGCAAAAAGACUAAAGUGAAUAUAUUACUUGAAAACUGAUCAUAGCUUUCCUCUCUACACCCACCAUAAACCCUAAACUAAACUCAUAAAUGAACGCUAUCACCAAAGCCACAAAAAUUUGGUUUUCUUCGUCACGUAAACCCUAGACCAGCAAAACAAGACGUACGGCAAUCGCCACAUGUUUACGUCCAAAGUAAAUCUAUAUUUUUUUAUAUAGAAAACUUCAUUUUAAUUCUUAAUAAAAAAAAAGAUGAGUUUUUUUACUAUAAUCUUGUGUAAGAUUAAAAUUUAAUUUUAGUCCCUGAUACAUUUAAGUGAGACUUUGAAUGCGAUCCUUAGCUAUGAAUAUUCUUUGAUUGAAACCUUGUUGAUUUUUAAUUUUUGAUCGAGGUCCCUGAAAUUAAUAUGAUAAUUUAUUUCUAUGUACGUUACUAUAUUUUUUAAAUUAAAAAUUAGAAAUUUUAGUUGUUUAUAUAAAUGAGAUUUUAAAUAAAAAAAACCAUAAUUUGUGGGAUUAAAAAUAUUAAAAUAUAUAUAUAUAUUUUAUAUAUAAACAUGGGUACAUUCAUCAAAAUUAACCAAAAAAAUUAAGGAAAACUAACGAAAAGUUCAAAAAAACUUCUGUUUUAACGAAAAGCCAUUUUUAAAGGUAUAGUAAAUAGUGCCAGUUAAAGGUAAAAAUAUGGUUUUUCGUUAAAAAGUGAACAAUACCGGGAGUGUUUUGUUAAAACUCCCAAAAAAUUAUUGUAUCAAAACAUGAGUACAUUCUUCAAAAUCACAAAAAGAAAAAAGAAAAAAGAAAGAUAUUAGGCUUAAUAACAUUAAUAAAUUUCUUCGAUUAAACUUGACAUGGAUACAUUUUAAAAUCAAAGAAAAAAGAAUGUACCCAUAUAAGUUUAAAAAUGGAUUAGAAAAAAAUUGAAUAGAUUUUCUAUAAAAAAAAGGGUACAUUUUACAUAUAACAAAUUGGUAUAUUUAAGAAUGAGUAUAUUUUAAGAUUAAAAAGUUUUACAUGAAUGGGUACAUAUAAUUAGCAUGGGUACAUUUAGAAAAAUAAAAAGUACGAAUAAAAAAAUAUAUGGGUACAAAUACAAAUAAACUUUAAAAAAUAUGGGCACAAAAAGAAAUGAAUAUAUGGGUACAAAUUAAAAUUGAAAAGAAAAUUGGUACAAAUUAAAAAAAAAACAAAUUAAAAAUGGGUACAAACUAAAACUAAAAAUAUAUGAUAAAAAAUUUAGUCAUAAAUAUAAAUAUACUAAUUGUAACAUUUUUAACAUUAAAUGAAUAUAUUUAGAAAUAAAAAAUAUAUUAUUAUUAAAAUAAUUAAUGAUAUUAUUAAUACCCAAGGACCUUGAUAAAAAAUUGAAAAGGAAUAGGAUUUUAAUCAAUAGAGUAGCAAAAUGAAGGAUGAUAACCUAAUUUCUCCUACAUUUAAUCAUCUCAUUUAUUAAUUAUAUUUUGAUGUUUUAUUUCUUUCUUUUUUUCCUAUUUUUAAUGUAUUAAUUACAAUUAAUUUUUAUUUUCAUUUCAUUCAUCAUAAUAUAUUUUGAUAUCUACAUUUAGGUAAACUAAUAUUUUUUAUAGGGAGCUGUAAUGAAAAAGGCUGGGACUAACUUUAAUUUAACAAAAAACCAGCCUAAACUAUUAUUUAACCAAAAUGGCUUAAAAUUCAAUCCUAAGGACAAACAAUUCAUAUAACAGGCCCUGCAAACAUAAAAGCUCACGGGUUGAGCAAAAAGCUAAACACAAUAAAUUUUUUUUUUCAAACUUGCCCUUAACGGAAAGCAUGUUACCUUUUUUAUGAUGGAGAAAGCAUGUUACCUUAUUAAAUAUGAAUGUCACAUCCCCACCCGGGGUGGAUCACUUCCCGGGCCCGCUCCACCACCGUAGCAAGAUAUUGUCUACUUUGGGCCCUGACCACGCCCUCACGGUUUUUUUCUUCUGAGAACUCACAAGCAACUUCCCAGUGGGUCACCCAUUCUGGGAGUGCUAUGGCCCCCUUCUCGCUUAACUUCGGAGUUCCUACGAAACCCGAAGCUAGUGAGCUCCCAAAAGGCCUCGUGCUAGGUAGGGAUAUGAAUAUACAUUUAAGGAUCACUCCCUUGAGUGAUGUGGGAUAUUACAACGAAGGUGCUAAAUUGGCGUCCACCAUCCCCACUUCCAUUUUUCUCUAUCAUCCACCAUCCCCCUUUCAUUAUUCUAACUACCACAAGUGCCAAACUAAUAAACAAAACGAACCAUCCUUGUUUCACUAUGGGGAUGUAGAAAAUUUGAUUUUUCAAGUGAGCUUUUUAGAAGACUUUUUUUAUUUUUUAUUUAUUAAAAAAUAUUGCUAUUUUUGUAUGUAAAAAGACUUAAUAUCGCAAGAAUUCCUUCAAUCAGUAUGGAAUUUAAACCAUGCAUCCAUUUCUAAAGUAAAUGAAGCACGUAUGAUAAUGAUGAUAGAUUGAAUUUGCAAUCAUUUUAUUGAUGGCGACUAUGUGUAACAUUUUUCGAAAAUAAAAAUGAGGGGAAAGGUGAUGAUCGAGUUCUUUGCAAAUUUGUGUAACAAAUUCCGAGAAAAGAAAAGGAGAAGUGACAUAAUUCUACAGAUUCGGAGGAAGAGAGGAUUGUAAAGAAAUGAAUCUUUGUAUUUCAUUACUUAAUGUGAAAGGAAUACAACUCAAUAUAUAUACAUUUCUCUAAUAAAGCUUAGUGCCUAAUUAUACUUAAUUAGGUCUCUAACACAGAGAUUAGUUACAAAAUUGUUACAGCUGUAAAAUGACAGUUGUACAAGCUGUUAACUAUGAGUUAUCCCUUUAAGGGUGAUGAGAUAAUGGGAACCAGACUCACCUAGAAAGAGAAGGUUAGGUGCUUUGACAGCAAACAGUAGCAAAGCUUCUUGUUUGUUGGUGUGGCACUCUUUCUAUAUUUUUUAUGAAUUAGUGAGACAUGACAAAUGCACAUUUGUAAUAGAAAAUAACGCAUUUGUCACGUUUAUAUGGAGAAUAUACCACAAAGUUUUAGAAAUAGCGUUUAUUUUGUUCUAUUUUAUAAAUAAUGUGGAUUAUUUUGGUUUAGUUUCAUAAAUAGUGUGAGUUAUUUUGCUAUUGUUCUAGAAAUAGUGUGGUUAUUUUGCUAUAGUUCUAGAAAUAGUGUGGGUUAUUUUGGUCUAGUUUUAAAAUAGUGUGGGUUAUUUUGUUAUAGUUUCAUAAAUAGUGUGGGUUAUUUUAGUCUAGUUUCAUAAGGUCUAGUUUCAUAAAUAGUGUGAGUUAUUUUCCUAUAGUUUCAUAAAUAGUGUGAGUUAUUUUGGUCUAGUUUCAUAAAUAGUGUGGGUUAUUUUGCUAUAUUUUCAUAAAUGGUGUGGGUUAUUUUGGUCUAGUUUCAUAAAUAGUGUGGGUUAUUUUGGUCUAGUUUCAUAAAUAGUGUGGGUUAUUUUGCUAUAGUAUCAUAAAUAAUAUGGAUUAUUUUGGUCUAGUUUCAUAAAUAGUGUGGGUUAUUUUGGUCUAGUUUCAUAAAUAGUGUGGGUUAUUUUGCUAUAGUAUCAUAAAUAAUAUGGAUUAUUUUGGUCUAGUUUCAUAAAUAGCGUGGGUUAUUUUGGUAUAGUUUCAUAAAUAGUGUGGGUUAUUUUGGUCUAGAUUCAUAAAUAGUGUGGGUUAUUUUACAGUAGUUCCGGAAAUAAUGUGGGUUAUUUUGGUUCAAUUUCAUAAAUAGUAUAGUUAUUUUGUUCCUUCCAAAAAUAGUGUAAGUUAUUUUGGUUCGGAUUCACAAUUUUGGUUUAGUUUUCAUAUCAAUUUGUCAUAGCCAUAGUAGCAGAGGUAGUUCAAGUAGACAACGGUUUCUGUUUCAAACACUUGAACGAGAAACUACCCAGUAAGCCCCCAAAAGAAAUCCCAUCACUCAUUCACAUAAACAGACAAGGAAAGUAUAUAAACCAUGAAGCUUUCCAGAAAAAGCAAAAACAAGUGAAAUUUGUUUGCUGUACAGCAUAUUAGCAAAGCUUCGGCAUCAUCCAGUCCAAUUUUAAUCUCAGAAAAUUUCUUCUUCUGCUGCUCUACAAUUCACAUUGAUAAAAAAAUAACCCAUUUAAUAAAAUGAUCAGAACUACCCAAAAUCAUGCAGAUCAAACCCAUGAUUAGGGAUGGGCAAAUACCCAUUGGUUAUGGGUAACCGCGGUUACUCGUCCAUUUAAAUUAAACGGUUACGGUUAUGGGUAACCGUUUAGAUAAAUAAACGGUUAUGGGUAUAACCGUUUACCCGUAAAAUUUAAAUGGGUAGUUAUGGGUAUUAACCGUGUUUAUAAACGGGUAACCGUUUACCCAUUUAUUUUAUAUAUGUAAAACUAACACAAACCAUGUUCUCGAUCCAAUAAUACUUAGCACCCAAUAAAUUAGCAAGGAAUUCAUCGGUCCUUCUCUCAAUAACACUACUACAGGAAUGAUGAUUCUCAUCAUCAAGGAAUUGGCCAAAUUAAUUUAAAUUCCUUGCGGGUAAUCGUGAAAUUGAAAGAAAUAUCUUCUAAACAAUUUUUGUAACCCAAUAAUACUUAGCAAAUAUUAUAUUUACCUUCAUUGAUAACAGUUAAAAAUAUCGUCCGUAAACUAUUAUUUCAAUUAUUGAAAUGGUAUAAGAACUUAAAAAUUAAAAUAUGGAAAUGUAUGAUGAAUGUACCUAUAACAGUUAAUUGUCAAAAAAAAAUUAUGACAAUUUUUUUUUUAAAUUUUCAAGUUGUUAAAAAACAUGUAGACGGGUGAAA
rnacentral:lncRNA from 1 species